UGCUAAAGUUUAGCACCUAGUAUCCAAACACCGCCCUAACUAUGUCACAUAUACUAANNNNNNNNNNNNNNNNNNNNNNNNNNNNNNNNNNNNNNNNNNNNNNNNNNNNNNNNNNNNNNNNNNNNNNNNNNNNNNNNNNNNNNNNNNNNNNNNNNNNUACUGUACGGCUAUUCGGUACACGAUUACGCCGGAACCGCGGGUUGGUGAAUAGAUGCGAAAUCAAAAUGCGCAAAAGGAAGGAGCCGGGCGUUAAGGUAAAAGGCUUGGCGCCAGGGAGACUGGCGCCGAGCCUUGGCGCCAAGAUCUAUGGCGCCACGUCAGGGGGCCGGCGCCACGUCGGAGGCGCGUGUGGGGCACCUUGGCGCCAACUAAGGGUCCAUUUUCGAAAUUGGUUUCGCCAGGGACCUAUUUGUGAGAUUUUUUCGCGAAAAGGGCAAAAAAAAAAAAAAAAAAAAAAAGUCGGCGCCCGCGACGUGACGGAGGCGGACCCGCAGGUCUCCUUUUUCGCCGGGGCAGUAAAGCGCGGGAGAGGAGUCCGCCGGCUCUGAUUUUCCGGCCGCCCACGGACUCUGCUUUCUCAUGGUGAAAAGAUAAGUCUUGGGGCAGGAAAACGCCUGCAGCCGUUGGGAUGGGUUUGGACGUCGGAUAUAUAUACCCCCGCAAGGUACGCCUGAAUCCCGAUCCGCCCUGACCCAAACGGCCAAACCCCUGAACAGCGGCGGCGGCGGCGGCCGCCUCGACGAAAGCAGGCUCGGAGGCUCCGGCCAGAUUAGCCGGUCGGCCCUAGAUUGGCAAUGCUAGCGCGGGCGUUUGGCGUUGUGGGCAAAGCAUGGAAGCGAACGCGGCAUAUAUCCAUCCAGGCCUCGAUCUCGCCGCGCCGCUGCUCCCACAUGUCACCGCAGCUUUGCCACCUCCACAGCAGACUGGCGCAACCGGAAAAUUUCCCUGAAGAACAGAACGCGCUACAAAACAAUAGCGGGUAAGAUCUGCCGCUCUGCCUAUUAGAUUGGAACAGAUGCGCCACUAGGUCGAAUUUGUGUGUGGUUGGAGCCGAUGAACUCACGUUCGACAAUAAUGCUAAAUCUCAUGUUAUUUUUUCGAACCGCAACCUGAUUUUUUGCUACAGAGGAGCUCCGCCAAUGCUGAAUUAUAUCUACGAACAGAACCGGAGCAAGCAGCCCGAUAAUGGCAACCUGGAGAAUUCAGCCGUUGCUGCUGUGGACUCUAUUAGGUAACCUUGCUCGAUUCUAAAAUUUAAUCUUGGCCUAAGCUUUGUAAUAAUGUUAGCAUGCUUACAUUCAGGGAUGCUGUUGAGGGGAGUUUUGACCAGAGGUUUGCAACACUGAAGAGCAUUGGGGAGGAUCGUGUCAAUGACCGCGAGCUUGAGUUAUUGCUAAAGAAGAAACCUGCCCCCAUUUGCUAUGUUUGGUGUGAUCCCUCCCCCUGGAUGCACAUAUCUGAGGUACAUGAACCUUUUUGUCAUAAAACUUUUAAAUGCUACAUACUGAAUUGAUAGCAAUCUAUGGAGGAAUUAUCCACGUAGUGCUCCUAAGGAAGAACAGGGGCAGUUUGAUGUAGAUAUACUCUUUAGGCUGUAAUGCAUUUUAAAACUUAAUCUUAUGAUGCAUGAUUAUGUUUUGGACUGGUCUUAUACUCUUAUCUUCCAGUGAGCAAUCCUCAAUGCCCAACAAACCCUACAACAGUAACGACUUCAAGUUUGGAGAGAAAAAAGAAACUAAAUCUACAAUCAUUUGGGUUGCAGAACAAUUCAAAAGAACUGUAAAAUUUUGCUUUUGUACACCACUUGGAUUCAGAGAGUAAAGCUGAAGUAGUAUGUUUCAUUGAAAAAUAUGGGGGUGGCUUAUAAUUAUCAGAACUUUUCAAGAACAUUCUUGAAUCUUCCUAUUAGUGAAAUGUUUAGAAGAUUGUAGGGUGGAGCGGCCUGCCAAGACCGCAUGGCGAAGAUGGUACAUGCUCUAUAUCUUGGAUGAUAAAUGGUCCUGUUACUUGCUAUUCUCCUGCAGCUAGUAUUAAAUUUGUAUUGUUGUUUUCUAACGGCACAUACGCAGGGGUCCUUAAGAACUUAGAAGAUGACUUGCUUGCACACCUUUGUUUCUCAGUCUUAUUACUUCCAAAAGUUUAGACAUUAUUUCUUUGUUAAUUAGGCACUUGUAUAACUAUGCAAUGGUACUGGGCAAUCCUCAUGGUCUGGCUUCAUGUAGUCAUUCUGUACCACUGAAUUAAAUAUCUUUCCUUGAACGCUAUUCUGAUUUUUUUUUGAAGAGGUACCUUUAUGAAGGACUUGACUGACCUAACAAACCCACUUUCUUUCUUGUGAAACCUUUUUACAUUCCAUGAUCAAUAGAGCCUCCUGUCAGGAUUAAAGUUUGUCUGAAUGAUUGCCCAACAUCUUUUUUGUGGGCGAACUGCUGAAGCCAGCAGCACUAGAUUCAUAACUAUCUGUUGGCAUACACUAUUAUAUCAUCAAUCUCAUGCAAACAGGACGAGCUCCAAUACAACUAGGAGGGGAUUCCUUAGACCAUAAAUAUCUAUUGUAUUGGAGUGAAAUUUAAUGAACUGUGAAUAUACUUUAUUUCCCUAUAACUAUUCCUGAUGGUAUUGGCUUUCAUGGCAGCAAGUUUUCGUGCUAAUGUUAUUGUUGGUUAAUGGCUAUGGCAAAUGCUAACUUUUAUUUGUGCGGUACUUAGUUAAUUCAUUUGCUGUCUUGAUUCACUCAUUUAACUGUUUUUAUUUAGCAAUGAUGCCAUGAUGCCCCUUAAAUUAACAGAUUGUUCGAGUUUGCAAUGUGAUGUUCACUCUUAGUUUUGCACUGAUCUGUUUUCAUGCUGCAGGGCAUCAUAAAGACUCUCUGUGUUAAUAAAAUGGUUAAAUCUGGUUGCAAAGUCAAAAUCGUAAUGGCAGACUGGUUUGCCCGGAUGAACCCUUAUAUUGGUGGCAGUCUAAAUAAAAUGCGGGCUAUUGGCUUGUACAAUAUUGAGGUGUGGAAAGCAGCUGGCAUGGCUCUUGAUAGUGUAGAGCUAGUGUGGUUGUCAGAUGAAAUAAAUCAGCAUGCCAAUGUAUAUUGGCCACUCGCCAUGGAUGUUUCAAGAAGAACCACUCUGCGUAGAAUAAAAGGGUAUAUUCUGGUUUGGAUUAUUCGAGUGUUCAAUGUGUACUUUCACUUGGAAACCUUUAAAUUUGAGCAUCAAAUGGAGGAACAUUUGAACAUGCAAGUCAUUUCAUUUCUGUUUAUCUGCAGGUUUUAUGGGAGUAGACAUCCAGCGGUUCAGCCAUUCACUGCUGCUGAUGUAUUUUACCCCUCUUUGCAGUGUGCUACCAUAUUAUUUCAGAAGGUUUGUUUUUACAUGGCAGUAACAAAAUAUGCAUCUAUACUUUCGCUGACAUGUAUAGCUUUUGUAGCAAACAUUCUACAAGUAUUUAUUCAUGUACAUUAUGAAAACAUUCUAAAUUGCAGGUUGACAUAUGGCUGUUGGGCAAAGCUCAGCAUGAGGCGAACUUGUUAGCUAGAGAAUAUCGCAAGCGUGCAGGACGGGGGAAUAAGCCAAUUGCGGUGUCACACAGUAUCUUUUUGAUGUUCUAUCUAAUUGAUGUCCCAGUUUGUUUUAAUGUGGAUAUGAGUAUACUUGGUAUUUGGUCCUUGUGUAUUAGUAACUUAUGUCAAGACACAUACGCGCUUUGACAUACAUGGACCAAAGUAUACUCAGGCACACAUCCUUAACUUAAAAGUACAGAAAUACUUCCUAAUUUAUUACUACGCCCUGAAGAAGAACAUAGGAGGAAUAAAUUUCUGGCGAUCUACAUGCGAGAUAUUGAGGUUUGUACUGUAAUAUUAGUACACAGCCUCUGUAAUGCUAAUUUUAUUUCAUAUAUUUUGAUACAAGAGCUAGUCAUUUUUGCAACUCUUGCUCACUAUUCAUAGAACAGUAUAACAAUAGUGUAAGGGAAACCAUCUUGGUUCAGGAAGACGAGUAAAAAUAGUUCACUUUCAGUACCUAUCGGCUAUGCAAGAAUAUAACUUUACAGUUUGCGGCUCAGUUGGAAACAAAUAUAUAUUGAAUACAGUAGCAAAAUAAAUGUGAUUUCUGUUAUUAGUUCCUCAUUCUUUAUUCAGAAGAAGUGACUUUUCCCUUAUGCACUUUAAAGAACUAGUGUCAUUAACCGAUUUGUUGGUCCUUUUGUUGCUUGAGCCUAUAUGUGAAAUUAGUUAUCUUGUAUGUUGUGUAACAUUUUUUUUGUCAACCAGUGUAACCAUAGAGAUAUGGGAAUUAGCUGCUUCAUGUUGUUCACUGCCUGAUCUUUAUCUUGGGGAAUCAUUGCUAGCUGUGUUUGAUAGUUUUACAAAUGGGAUUGUUCAAUACUGACAUUUAAUGUAUUGCAGUUUGAUAUCAAUAGAAAAAUAAUACAUGCUUUCUGCCCUCCAAAAUUGGUGGAAGGCAACCCGUGUUUGGAGUACAUAAAAUAUAUCAUCUUACCAUGGUACGGAAAGUUUGAGGUGGUUCGGAAGAUAGAGGAUGGUGGUGACAAGUAAGAUUCUCUGCUAAGUCUGCAUGUUUCCUGAUAAACGCUAUUCAUGUAAUUGACCAGUAGAAUGAAUAAUUAUUACAUCCAGCCUGUAUCAUGCCUACUCAAAAAGUAGCAAGGCAUUAACGGUCAAAAAAUAAAUGAAUUCAUUUGCAGAAGAUUCAUGUGCUAGUAUAUACUAUGCUAUAAAUCUAGUACGAGUGUAUGACUACUAUCCACUAUCAUUAUACAGGACGUUCCUGAGCAUGGAGGAGCUUACAGCUGAUUAUUUAAGCGGGGCUCUGCAGCCUGAUGACUUGAAGCUGGCCCUUGCAAAGUCAUUAAACAAAAUAAUGCAGGUACAUUUUUUCUCCCUUGUCUGGCAAUCGUCUUUCUUUCCUUUGCCUGAGUGCUAUUGUUAGGGACCUGGAGGGGCUACUGGGCGUCAGGGGAAAAAGGGGCCUAAUUGGGCUGGCAGGCCCUAUGGACCCAAUGGGUCCAGCAGGGCCCCUGCGCCAGGGGGCCAUGUGGCACUGUUAACGCGUGAACAGUGCCCGCGGGUACUGUAGCACCGGCGCCCCCAGGCAGCCGCCCCAUAUCUUGCAUAAUAGAUUAGGAAUUAGGAAGGGUCUAGAUAUUAGGAUGGCUUGCAAGCCAAGUAAGUUAGCGUUCCUUGAGAGCCAAGUCGUGUCUCCUCUGUAUGAUAGAGGCCCCAUGUACCAAAUUAAGCAAUGUACUAAAUUAAGCAAGUAAGAAAAAAGUAAAGGGGUAAAACCCUAAAGCUCCCCAGCUCUCAGGCUUCGGCUCCUUCCCCCCAGAUUACUGUUCACGUUGUGAACAGUACCCCCAUGGGCACCGGGCGCCCCCUCUCUCCCUCUCUCUAGCGCCCUAGAUUACUGUUCAUUUUCUUUCUCUGCAUUUGCUUAUGACUUACAAUUUUGAGACUGAUACUGGAAGAUGCCCAACACGGAGGUAUUACGUAUCCUAGCUCUAACACCAGAAAAUGCUUCGCAUAGGGAGGUCCAAGAUGAACAACUUCACUGACUCCAAACACUAAAUGGUAGAUUGAAAUUCUUCUAGGAAUGGCAUACAGAAGAAGCAAGAAAAUGCAUGCAUUAGCAGUGAAGCACUCACCAUGUAUACUUUAACGACUACCAAAGAAAACUGGAAAAAUUUAAGUAGUAUUUGUUUUCACUUCUCCAAAACAUGGCUCACUUCCAAUGUGUUAAUGCCGUGCACUAAUUCUAUUCCUGACAGUAACCCAUGUUAACAUUUCUUGAUAAGUUGCUCUAACAUGAAAUAAAUAUAUAUAUGAUGAAACAGUCAACAAUGCAUCUUUGUGUGAUAGCAUGUCCUUGUUCACAAUAUUUAUCCUUUUCUCUCAGGAGAGGUGCCAUUUUAAAAUAUUUGUCAAUUGAGUAAAAUGAGAGUGUAAUUAUUGAGAUAUUCCAAGAACGCAUCGUAUUUCAAUGAAUAGGAGAAUGCACAGGCAUUUCUCAUUUCCUUUUUCUUUGACUUAUUACUUCAUCUGUACACAUGGCAAUUAAGGAGAAAAUAUUAUGAAAUGGGUGGAACUGUUAAUUUGAGUUAGCUUAAUUUCUUCUGGCCCAUGUUCUUAGUCAAAAUAAUAUUUCAUUCUGAGUUGGUUUUACCUUAUGUUUUUUGUUUCAAGCCGAUCCGUGGUCACUUCAGAAGCAAUGCUGAAGCAGAGAAUACAGUGGAACGGAUUAAGGUAUAUUUCAGCUUUAUUGGUUUUUCAUUUCGUACAGAGUUGGAACACUGUUUCGUAUAAUUAUGUUUUUAAGAAACAUCUUAUUUAAACUCUUAGCUUAGUGCCUUACAGAUGUUCUUUUGGAUGAUUUAGGGGUUUAUAUAUGAGUUGGGCUGGGUUCUCUAGGAUAUAGGUUAAGUUGUGAUUGUUGUUAACCAAAAAUGUAAUAUGCUAGUAAAACGUUGCUGCGGGAUAGAAAAAGGAAAUUUGAUAUGAUGCCAUGCAAAUCACAUUUGUAUAAUUAAACCUAUGUUAUAUGUAGACAAAUGACAACAUGCUUUCCAUAAUUAAUUUGAACAUAGUUGGUUCUAAAAAGGUUCAAUCCUUGGUAGAAAAGUAUAACAAGUAUUAUUUGAGGUGUAAAUGAGAACUCAAUUUAGAAGCAAAGAAUGACAGUGGGUAACAUUAGUUUCGAGCUCUUUAGUAUAGUGAUGAGCUCUGGAUACUGAGUGAAAACAGUUGCAUAAGUGAAAAGAGAGAGAAUUAGCGGCACCAUGACAAAAUAUACUACAACUGAUUUUGAAGCUAAUUUGCCUUCAGUAACAACUAACCGCCACUGCAUAUUAAUUACCUUCAAUUUGGUGCUCUCAAAUUGAUGUCCUAGUGGAAAUCGAACAUAUAUGAUUAUUACCACUAUUGGCCCUUUUAGAAAAGAGUAAACGGCAACAAAUCACAACUUAAGAUGUAUACAAUCUCCAAUCCCUCGAUCUAUCUGCAUUUCUUAACCACGUGAAGUUCAUAGAAAGAGCAAAAUGGUGCAAAUUAUAUGACAGGUUGACUGUCCAUACAAUCUUUCAAUUCUUUAUUCCACUUUUUCAUUCUUAAUCAGAUAAAACGUUAAGGAAUAAAUACAAACUAGAUUCUGAGAGGGAGAGAACUUUUAGCCCUCACAGAUGCGCAGUAAUCCUUUCUGUCAACUUACUGCUCGUGUGUUCCCAACUGAAGUAAACUACGAAAAUCUGCAAGCAAUCACAGGACAUAGCACAGGAGAGGCAAAGGUUUGAUAUCUAACGUGCCUAUGAGUUAUCUUCGCUAAAGUCACUAAUUUGCAAGUGCUGUUGAUCUGUUUGAAGUUGACAGCAGUAUUUCCCCCCUGGUGCUUUAUAUGAAAACGGUCGUGUCUUUAAAGAAGCAAAUACUAUAUUAGUUGUAUCAGUCAUGUAACCCUCCUGUCACUUCUUUUUUUGGGCAGGAAUACUACAAGCCAAGGUGAGGAUCAGAUGGCUACAUACACUUGGGUCGCAGGGGAACCGUGCAACAGUACACUUGGCAGUGGACACAUUAUUAUCCAUGUAAUUAACAAUGAGUUUUUUUAAAAAAAAUCUGUGGCACCAGUUUAAAUAUUUUUUGAAAAAUAGCACCAGUUUAAAUAUUGCCGCUGCAACCUGUAAGUGAUGAAGCGACAGGAUGAUUUCUCGCUCAGAGCCCAAGAUCCUCGUGAAAACAUGUGCGCUUGGGACAUUCUUUUCUCCUUUUGUUUGGGGCUACUAGAAAUCGGACGUUUUACGAAUGCUUACGCGCAAGAAAUUUUCCUUAUUGACUGAAGCUAGCCAACAAAAGCAGAUACGGUUGCAGCACCGAAACGCAACAACGGAAGGGAGCAAAGUGUAUUUUGUUUUGAGCACCGUAGCCCAUACCGUUCCCAAACAAUGUGGGUACGUUGCGGGCACUGGAAAUCAAAUACCAGUCCAAGACAAGAUGUGAACGAGGCGCGUCUUCUCUACAACUGCUGCUACGUUGGAUUGGACUUCUCCCAAAUCCUCUCUCUGCUACUCUGAAUCCUUCAUUUUCUUUUGAAAUUGUCUACCAAAAAACUACCAUAGAAAAGUAUAACAAGUAUUACUUGAGGUGUAAAUGAGAACUCAAUUUAGAAGCAAAGGAUAACGGUGAGUAACAUUAGUUUCGAGCUCUUUACUAUAGUGGUGAUCUCUGGCUGGACUCUAAGCCAACAAGACCCACCCCAACACUCCCUAGCUCACACGUGACACCCCCAAACACCUAGACAACGUCCGAGACCCCGGUAACCUAGACCUCCACGGCGGUGCCCUUACCAGGCGGAGCGGCAGCCGGUUCUGGAGAAGAAGACGGCGGGGACAGCGGUGGUGGUGGAUGGGACUGGACGAUGACUGGCGGGACGGGUUGAGGAGCUCACGGCGGUGGUUCUAGCGGAGCAGAGUCGCUGGUGGUGGCGGGACGGCGGUGGAGCUGGGUGGCGACCGAAGCGGACGAAGAACAGAGCACGGUGAAAAACGGCAACGCGGUGAAAACGAUAGAGCUGGCGGCGGGAGCGGUGAUUUAUAUGAAAAAUUACCGCCUCUCGCCCGCCACGUCCUGCUUGCUUGCUUGCCUUCGUGGGAGCUCGCUCUUGCCAGCGCGUGGCACGGCGGCGCCACUCUGGACGUCAAUGGCGCACAGCUGUGCUGCACCCUGCCUCCUCUGUUCUUCCUUUCUUUCCCCAAAUUCCACCAAACUCAGGCAUCAAAUUGUGCCCAUUUUGUAAGUCAAACUUCAAGAAUUCCUUUAAGCAAAGUUGGAGAGGAUCAUGUGUUCUCCAUUUGAUUGAUUUGCAUCGGGAUCAAAAGAUCACUCCAUCACCUUGAAUUUCAACUCCAAUGUCGGGCUAGGGUUCUGUCAGUUAACUGAAUCGCCUCUCCCUCGUUCAGUUUCAUCAGACUCCGCCCGACAGUUCGAUGUGCCAUCUUUGAGCUCCAAUUCAACCAUUCAAAAUCGGUUUUUGUUGCCCAACAACUACUGGAAUCUGUCAAUCACAUGAUAGGGAUUCCAUUUUGCAUCUUAGAUCCCAACCCUUAUACACCAAAUAUUUCAAAAUUCGAGCUCAAAUUUUGCCAUAUUGCACUGUUCUUUUGAACUGAAUGGACUUCACCAUUCAGUUUCCUCAGGCACGUUAUCAGUGUAACUUUCAUAAUUUGAGCUUUGAUAAAAAUUUGAAUUCUUCUCUUUACCUGUCCAACCACUGUUUCAAAUUGGCCUACAAACCUUCAAGAACACUUAGGCUCCAAAAAUAUCCAAGUUGUUAACAUCAAAUCUCUCAGAAUUCAAGCUUAAAAUUGGUCAUUCUUAACGGUUUUCAGAGUUUAACUGAUUUCAGUGGCUGAACCAAAAACUGCACUACUUUCAAUUUUUUGAGCCUCAUUUAAAAUAUGAAUUCUCUAUUUUCUCUGGCCAAAAACAUGUCCAUUAGAUUCAAUAUAUUGCAUAGUACAGUUGUGCUCCAAAACAUCUCCCAUAUCCAAUGAGAAUUCUUGCAGAAUUUAAAUCCAAAGUUGAUUGAUUGCUACUAAUCUCAAACUUGUAUUUUCAGACAAUGAAUAGUAACUUAAGUCAAUUCAUCUUUGACUAUGCAUUUGAGGUGUCUAUGACUUUAAUUUGACUUCAAACUUGAUUCCUUUGAAUUCUAAAUACCUUCAAGGCUUGAUUCCAUAUUUUUGUCAAAUUUUUCCAAAUUUAAAUCUUGAAUUUGAAUUUUUGGUCAAAUUUAACUCAAAUUUGACUUUGGCCCAUAAUACCUCCUUUUAAUCAAAAUUUCAUCAUUAACCUCUUAAUGAACUUCUUAGGUUUUUACUAACACUGGAUGUUACAAUUGAUAACAAUCUAUGAAGGAAUGAUCAACAUAGUGCUCCUAAGGAAGAACGGUGCAGUUUGAUCUAUAUAUACUCUUUAGUCUGUAAUGGAUUUUAAAACUUAACUCUAUGAUGCAUCAAUAUGUUUUGGACUGGUAUUAUCUUCCGGAGAACAAUCCUUUUUGGAGAGAAAAAGAAACUAAAUCUACAAUCAUUUGGGUUGCAGAACAAUUCCAAAGAACUGUAAAACUUUUCUUUUGUACACCACCUGGAUCCAGAGAGUAAAGUUGAAGUAGUAUGUUUCAUUGAAAAAUAUGGGGGCAUCUUAUAAUUAUUAGAACAAUUCUAGAACAUUAUUGAAUCUUCCUAUUAGUUAAAAAUUGAGAAAGAUCAUAGACAAGACCAUAGAGCGAAGAUGGUACAUGCUCUAUAUCUUGGUUGAUAAAUCCUUUUUUUUUAGCAAAUUGGUUGAUAAAUACUGUUACUUGCUACUAUUUUGUAGCUAGUAUUGAAUUUGUAUUAUGUUUUUCUAACGACAUAUACGCAUGGGUUCUUAAGAACUUAGAAGAUGACUUACUUUUCGAACCUUUGUUCUCAGUUAAUUCCAAAAGUUCUGCCAUUAUUUCUUUGUUAAUUUGGCACUUAUACAACUAUACAAUGGUACUGGGCAAUCCUUGAAUAUCUUUCCUUGAACACUUUCUAGUGAAACCCUUUUUACAUUCCAUGAUCAAUCUUGCUCAGGAUAUUACCAUUUUUCUGAAUGAUUUCUCGUUUUUGUGAGUGCACUGUUGAAGCCAGCAGCACUAGAUUCUUUAUUACGUGUUGGCAUUAUCGUGAAUCUCAUGCAAAUACAUUUAGGAGGGAUUCCCUUGGACCAUAGGUAUAUAUUGUAUUGAAGUGAAAUUUAGUGAACUGUGAAUAUACUUUAGUUCCAUAUAACUAUUCUUGAUGAUGUUAACUUUCAUGGUGGCGGCCGGGUUCUUGUGCUAAUGUUAUUGUUGGUUAAUGGGGUGUGGCAAAUGCUAACUUUUAUUUCAUUUGCUAUCUUGAUGCACUCUUUUAACUGUUUUUAUUUUGAUUGAUGCCAUGAUGCCCAUUAAAUUAACAGAUUGUUUGAGUUUGUAACGUGAUGUUCACUCUUAGUUUCGCACUGAUCUGUUAUCAUGCUGCAGGGCAUCAUAAAGACUCUCUGUGUUAAUAAGAUGGUUAGAUCUGGUUGCAAAGUCAAAAUCUUAAUGACAGACUGGUUUGCCCGGAUAAACUGUAAUAUUGGUGGCAACCUAAAUAAAAUGCAGACUAUUGGCUUGUACAAUAUUGAGAUGUGGAAAGCAGCUGGCAUGGCUCUUGAUAGGGUAGAGCUAGUGUGGUUGUCAGAUGAAAUAAAUCGACAUGCCGAUGAAUAUUGGCCACUCGCCAUGGAUGUUUCAAGAAAGACCACACUGCAUAGAAUAAAAAGGUAUAUUCUUGUUUGGAUUAUUUGAGUAUUUAAUAUGUAUUUCACUUGGCAGUCAUUAAAUUGGAGCAUCAAAUGGAGGUUCAUUUGAACAUGCAAGUCAUUUCAUUUCUGUUUACCUGCAGAUGUUAUGGGAGUAGAGAUCCCUUUGAAGAAUUCACUUCUGCUGAUGCAUUUUACCCUUCCUUGCAGUGUGCUACCAUAUUAUUUCAGAAGGUUAUUUUUUUUCCUCUUUGAAAACUUUCAACCUUAGCAGGGGCAAAGCUAUAGCACCAAAAGGACAGUGGUGCACUUGAGAAACAGAUGCAAUUUCAAAGUAACAUGCGGCAGAUAUGAGUAAAUUUACUAGCAAAAUCUUGAUUUACCAUGGUGCAUGUGCUGUGCGCCUCCCUAAUACAACUUAGCCCUGCCCCUGAAUCUUAGGAGAUUUGUUAGUCACAUCUCUGUUUACAAAUGCGUCGCUAUGGCAUGUGUCAGUUAACUUUGUCUUUGACUGCUAAUCUAUUUAUAACUGCUGAAAUAGCAAUCUAAUGCGCACCUUAAACGCUGGAAUUUUUAAAAUUAAGGUAGUCAAGAACGAUGCAAUAUAAUUAGUUUAUCCUUCUUUUUUAUCUUCUCCAACUUGCAGUUUGUAAUUUUCCUAAUGUUUUUUGAGAUUUGGAUGCUUUUAUCGUAUUCUUAAACACCAUGAGGUUUUAUAUCAACACACCAAAAUUUGCUGUAUCCAUCAAAUCAGAGGAGAUUUGACUGAUUGCUAAUAUCCUGUAAUAAAUCAGUAAUGUAAAAUAUGCAUCUAUACUUUGCCUGACAUGUAUAGCUUUUAUAGUGAACAUUUUACAAACAUUUAUUCAUGUACAUCUAUGGAAACAUUCUAAGUUGCAGGUUGACAUAUGGCUGUUGGGCAUGGGUCAGCAUGAGGCCAACUUGUUAGCUAGAGAAUACUGCAAGCGUGUAAAAAGGCGGAAUAAGCCAAUUGCGUUGUCACACAGUAUCUUUAGAUUUUGUAUUUAGUUGUUCUUCCAGUUUGUUUAUUGUGAAUAUACCUCGGUAUUUUAUCCUUGUAUAAUGGUAAUCUAUGUCAAGACAAAAGACACAUGCACACUACAUACAUGCACUAAAGCAUACUCAGGCACGCAUCCUACAGAUAUACUUCCUAAUUUGUUACAAUACCCUGAAGAAGAACAUAGGAGAAAUUCGUUGCUGGCUAUCUACAUGGAAGAUAAUGAGGUCUGCACUGUAAUAUUAGAACCUCUGUAAUGCUAACGUUGCUAUAUAUAUCUGUACUAGUUGUUGACACAGGUUGAUGACACUAGUUGUUUGCAUUUUUUGUAUAGCAAACAUAAUUUUAUUUCAAAUAUUUUGAUACAAGAGCCAGUCAUUUUUGCAACUCUUGCGCGCUAUUCAUAGGGCAGUACAACAAUAGUGUUAGCAAGUUGUGUGUGUGUGUAUAUGGGCCUGUGCUCCCGUGGCUUAUAGCCCGGCCGGCCCCCGAUAGAUUGAUUAGAGAUAGGAGGAGAUCCUUAGCCGGCCCUGUUUCCAUAAGCUUAGGAUCUCCUCACCCCUAUAUAUUGUAACAUCUAUCCCUCAUCAAUCCAAUCUAACUUUCCACGCAAUUUUCAUAUAGUGUAAAGAAAACCAUCUUGGUUCGGGAAGACGAGUAACAAUAGUUCACUUCAGUACCUAUGGGCUAUGCAAGAGUAUGACAUUACAGUCCGCAUGGCUCAGUCGGAAGCAAAUAUAUAUUGAAUAGGAUGGGAAAACAGAUGUGAUUUCUGUUAUUAGUUCUAUCAUGGACUCAUUCUUUAUUCAGAAGAAGCGACUUUUCUCUUAUGCACUUUAAGAAAGGAACUAGUGUCAUUAACCUGUUUACUAGUCCUUUUGUUACUUGAUCCUAUAUGUGAAAAUAAUUAUCUUGUAUGUUGUGUAAAAUUUUGUUUUGUGUCAACCAGUGUAACCAUAGAGAUAUCAAAAUCAGCUGCUUCAUGUUGUUCACUAGCUGAUGUUUGUCUUGGGAAAUCAUUGAUUUUUGAUAGUUUUACAAAUGGGAUUGUUCAAUACUGACAUUUGAUGCAUUGCAGGUUGAUAUCAGUUGAAAAAUAAUACAUGCUUUCUGCCCUCCAAAAUUGGUGGGAGGCAAUCCGUGUUUGGAGUACAUAAAAUAUAUCAUCUUACCGUGGCAUGGAAAGUUUGAGGUGGUUCGGAAGAAAGAGGAUGGUGGUGAUAAGUAAGUUUCUCUGGCAAGUCACUACUGCAUGUUUCGUGACAAGCACUAUUCAUGUAAUUGACCUUAUUUCAUCCAGUCUGUAUCAUGACUAAAAAAAGUAGCAAGGCAUUAACAAGCUACAAAUAAGUGAAUUCAUUCGCAGAAGAUUCGUGUGUAUAUACCAUGCUAUAAAUCUGGUACGACUACUAUCGACUAUCAUAUACAGGACAUUCCUGAGCAUGGAGGAGCUUACAAAUGAUUAUGCAAGUGGUGCUCUGCAGCCUGGUGACUUGAAGCUAGCCCUUGCAAAGUCACUGAACAAAAUAUUGCAGGUAUCCUUUUCCUCUCUUGCCUGUCAGUCAUCCUUCUUUGCUUUCCCUGAGUGCUACCAUUUUUCUCUGCAUUUGCUUAUGACUUGAAAUUUUGAGACUGGUACUGGAAGAUGCUCAAUACGUUGCCAUUACAUAUCCUAGCGCUAACACCAGAAAUAUGCUUCGCAUAGGGACGCCCAGGAUGAACAACCUCACUGGCUAGGUUAAAUUGUGGAUUGAAAUACUGACAGGAAUUACACAAGGCAGGGAGCAAGAAAAUGCAUGCAUUAACAAUGAAGCACUCACCAAAUAUAAUGUAACUACUACCAAACAAAUCUGGAAAAUAAUUAAGUAGUAUCUGUUUUCACUUCUCAAGAACAUGGCUCACUUCCACUGCCCACUGCCAUGCAGUAAUUCUUUUCCUGACAAUAACCCAUGUUAAUAAAGUUUCAAAAACAUAACCCAUGUUAACAUUUCUUGAUAAGUGGCUCUAACAGGAAAGAAAUAAAAUAUUAUGGAACAAUGCAUCUUUGUGUGAUAACAUGCCCUGUCUCACAAUAUUUAUCCUCUCUCAGGAGGUGCCACUUUAGAAUAUUUGUCCAUAGUAAAACAAGUGUAGUUAUUGAGAUAUUUCCAUAAUGUAUCCUACUUUAAUGAUGCAAAAAGAAUAUAAUUAAUUGUAGUAUGCCAUUGAAUAGGAGAAUGCACAAGCAUUUCUCAUUACCUUUUUCUUGGACUUAUUUCUUCGUCUGUACACUCGGCCCUUGAUCUUACUCAAAAUAAUAUUUUAUUCUGAGUUGGUUUUACCCUUUAUUUUUGUUUCAAGCUGGUCCAUGAUCACUUCAGUAGCAACCCUGAAGCAAAAAAUGCAGUGGAAGGCGUUAAGGUAUAUUUUAAUGAUCUUUAUUGCCUUUUCAUUUCAUACAGAGUUGGAGCAUUGUUUCGUAUAAGGAACAUCUUAUUUAAACUCUUAGCUUACUGCCUACAGAUGAUCUUGUCGAUGAUUGAGGGGUUUAUAUAUGAGUUGGGCUGGGUUCUCUAGGAUAUAGGUUAAGUCGUGACUGUUGUUAACAGAAAUUUGUUAUACUUGUGAAAACCCCUUUUUUUGCGAAAAUACUUGUGAAAACCCUGUGCAUUGCUGUGGGAUGGAAAAAGGAAAUUCGACAUGAUGUCAUGUAAAUCACGUUUAUAUAGUUAAACCUAUGUUGUACUGAGACAAAUGGCAACAUGCUUUUUCAUAAAUAAUUUGAACAGAGUCGGUUCUAAAAAGAUGCAAUCCUUGGUAAAGAAGUAUAACAAUUAUUACUUGAGGUGUAAAUGAGAACCUAGAUGCAAAAAAUAAGGGCGAGUAACAUUAGUUUUGAGGUCCUUAGUAUAGUGAUGACCUCUGGAUACUGUGUUAAAAUAGUUGCAUAAUUAAAAGAAGAGAUGAAGAAAAUUACCCGCACUGUAGACAAAAUAUAAUACAGUUGGUUUUGAAGCUAAUUUAAUUUGCCUUCAGUAAUAACUAAUCUCCACUGCAUGUACCUUCAAUUUGGUCCACCCAAAUUAGGAAAGCAGAUAUUUAUGAUCAUUUAAAACUAUUGGCCUUUUUAGAAAAGAGAAAACGCCAACAAAUUGCAACUUAAGACUUAUAAAAUUUCCAAUCCCUCGACCUCUCUGCAUUUCUUAACGAUGUUAAGCACAUGACAGGUUUAAGUGUCCAUACAAUCUUUCAAUCCUUAUUCCACUUUUUCAUUCGUAACCAGACACAAAGUUAGGGAAUAAAUACAAAUUAGAUUGAGAGCAAGAGCUUUUAGCCCUCAACUGAUGCGCGGUAUCGUGUUCCCCAACUGAAGUAAACUAUGAACAAGCAAAUACUAAUAUACACCUCUGUUGUUGAUCGAAUAUAUAUCUUUUGGAACAAGCAAACUAGUUCAAAAAUAAUCUAAUUUGCCUAAACAUCAUAUAUUUAGGAAAGGAGGUAGUUUUGCAUUAGUUCUAUCCAUAAUGUAACCCUCCUGUCACUGUGUUCAUUUUUUUGGGGGCAGGAAUACUACACUGCAAAGUAUAGAUGAGAUGGCUACAUUUUGGCCGCAGAGGAAUAGUAGAACGCUACGCUCGAGCAGUGGUCACCUUAGCCAUGUAAUGAAAGAUUUGAGAUGUGCGUGUUAUAUAUAAAAUCUGGGUUACCAGUUUGCCACAGUAUAAUUUCUCGCUCAGAGCCUCAGAUCCUCGUGAAGACACAUGUGCACUUGGGACAUUCUGUUCGGCGGAAGCUCGAGAACUGAAAUCGGACGUUUUAAAAAUGCCGUGCAAGAAAAAUUGUUUUUGUCUUCCCCCGUUGCUGACCCAGCUCGCCAAGAAAAGCAGCUACGGUUGCAGCCGGUUAAGUGCCUUCUUUUCUCGCCUGGACCGUGCAUGCUUUCUUUCUCAACAGAAGUAGGGGCCAGCCGGCCUUGCGUCGUGGCUGGGCUUUGCAUACACAGAUACGCGGCGGCAGGCUGGCAGCAAGUGAACUGAACACGAGUACGAGCGGGGUCGUCCAGAGGAUAACUAGUCAGGAGGAAUUGUGGAAUCAAGAUGCACGGCACCCCAACAAACGGAGAAGGGAUUUGCUCACUGCAGGGGCUCAUCGUCGCAGCAGAGCACCUACGUAGAUUUUGGAGACCAAUGCAAGUAUACCUGCAGAAGUGGGCUGGCCGAUUGGGAUCGCGUCAUCCGCGUAUACCAAGCACCGACCUACUACGCUGGAUGUCAGAAAGCGCUGCCGUUUUCCUUGCAGUUCCAAGGCAUUCGGAGGUGCUGGUGUGAGCCGGCCGAUGCAACCCGGACGGAGAGGCGAACUCCGUACCAAGACAACGGCUCAACUCGUACACCAUCCACAUGUACACGAAGCAGAUCGAGAUUUGAAGCAUAGCCUGCUGCACCUCUGAACUUUGUCUUGAAAAAAAAAGGCCUCGAUUCCACAAACCCUUCGCAGCGGCAGCCCUUCCUGGUACUAACUAGUUCGCCUGUUGUGCUUGGCCCAUCACUGUUCAGCACCAGCUUCUUCAACAUAUAUGUAAUCGAUCAUGCAUAUCUGUCUCCACUUCUCUUUUCAGCUGUUCGUGCUGUGCACCAAAAUUUAUUUUACAGCAAUAUGUACCAAUACGCCAUCACUUCAUGGAACUCAACUAUCAAAGGCUAGCAUGCGCAAAAGAACCACCAGCACCAUAGCCUCAAGCUGACCAGGGUGCGCACACAAAACACGCAGUGACGCAGGCAUGGGUAAGAAGGUUAUAACUAAUGUGCGUAAGAGUAAAGCACCGGUCAUCGAAGAACAUGUGAUUCUACCAUGCAUAACAGCUACUCCGUAAGUAGUACUAGUAGUAGUAGUUAACAGGGGGUCCAGCCUCCGGGGAAAUGGUUACAGGGAGAAAGAAAACAAGAGACCGACAAGCUCACUAAUAUUGUACACAUAUUGGACCUCCAUUGCACAUCUCCUGUUCGGUGCCUUCAACUAUCACUACAAAAUUCAACUGGGGCAAGCAUCGCCUGCAAAAAAUGGAAGCACUAUGAUACAUAAGCCAACGAAUUGCAAUCCUCGGGUGGGAAUGGCGAUCUUUUGAACCGAACCUUCAAAGCACGCUGCAGAGAACUUCCUGGCCUCACAGUCACAGCAGGUCCUGCAAAAAUGGCAGUAACAAUGAGACACAAGAGAAGCAAGAACAUAUAUAAUCCUACGGAAACCGGUGGUCUUUUGAGUGUACCAGUAUGUCCUCGCAUGAUGGGCGCUCUUCAGGUGACGGUUCCAACAUUAUCUUCAUAAGGGACGCAUCUCCAGUCCAGUCCUUGGAAAGUUCCGAAUUUCGCCACGUUGAAAACGGGUACUUCUUCCAUUGGGGAGACAGAACUAGUAUCCUGAGCUUGAGAAGCCAUUCGGCGCGCUCGGCAGCUGCAGCCGAUGGUCCAAAGAGCUCGGCGUACACCAUGCCAAGGCUGAAGACGUCGCUCUAAAUUGAACAGAAAUCAAAUUCCAACACUUGGCCAAUGUAUGGAACCCUCAUGUGCUGCGUGAAUGCUAAGAUGAAAGUACCUUUACACCAUGUUUUUGCAUCAGCAGAAGCUCAGGUGACCCAUAUAGCCGUGUCCCAUACAAUUUUCCCCCAUGAGAACAUGAUUCUGAAGAAAUUAACCCACCUGACAAAAAUAGAUACAAUUAAAAUAAUAUUCAGUUGCACGAAUGUAAACAAUCUAGUUAUUAUACUUACUGUGUCCGAAAUCUCCAAUCUUCGCAUCACCAUGGUCAUCAAGAAAUAUGUUGUUGGGCUUGAUGUCCCGAUGGACAAUACCUUUUGAGUGCAAAUAUCUUAGUCCAGAAACUGCUUGGGUAAAGAUCUUGACUCGAUCACAAAUUGACUUAACAGGAUUUUCAUCAAGAUAGUCCUCAAGGGUACUAAAAAGAAGGCAUUAAUCAAUAUAGAUGAUUGAGUCAAUAUAGAUGAUCAACAGUUAGUAUAAACAAAAGUACAUUUUGCGCACCAUUUGAAGAAUUCCUGUGCUAAGAAAACUGGGUACUCCUUUGCACCUGUAUCUGGUUUGUCCUCUGCCCACGCAGAAUAAAUCCUUCUAACAUGUGGGUGACAAAGCAUCCUCAUGGUCAUAGACUCCCUGGUAAGAGGAGUGUAUUGCAUACUAACAAAUUAAACAAAGACUUUUGUUUUCAUAUCGAAAUAAUUGAGAGGGAAAUGAGAAGCAUACUGCAUACAACAAGCAGGUUUGUUGUGUUUCAUCUUACUAUUACUAAUUGGAGCCUCCACAUAACCCUCACAAGACACUUUAGAAAAAGAUGGAAAUGUCUUUAAAAAAAGAAAAAUAUAGACGGACGGAUGGAGGCCCUAAAUUGUGUAUUCUUCUCCAUUUUUAGUUUAAAUAGGACAGAUGGAGGCCCUAAGUUGUGUCAACAAGCAAAAUAGGAUUCUAGUUAGUAUAAAAUAGGCACACUGCACAUAGCAACCAGGUGCCACACAUAUUAAUCCUCAAGGGUUUAGUUCCUAAAUAUAGAAGAUUACUAUAUAUCAACAUGCAUAAUUGUUGAGAUAUAGACAGUGAAUCGAAGGGUAUCCUAAGUUCCUAACAACCAAAGAUACAAUGAACUAACAUACAUACAUAUAUAAAAUAUACAAUGCACUAACCUUGGCUCCUCAUCUACAUGCUCAGAAGCUGAACACUUUAUGGCACAGCUGUGUGAAUUAUCCAGAGAUACACACCUAUGCACCUCACCUUCCGCUCCAGCUCCUAACAUAGUUGCACCGAUUAUAUAAUGAAAUGUGACUGAGACAAUCCCUCAAGAAUGGCUUAAUUACUAACUUACCGAGCAACUCUUUCACUUCAUAAUGAGUAUCGAAGGAGAUCUUGAACUUUUCAAGAAUUGAGCCACAAAUGACGCCUGUGUACUCUAGACGCUGAUCAUGAUACUGGGACAAGGCCUAAGCAAUGGUUUACCAUGGACCCAUGAUGAGCAGAUAGUAUUAGUAGUACACUAGCUAGUAGCAAAUGUAUAAUAGAAGAUACUACUAACCACUAUGGGUCCUUGUACAUCCCGUGGGUCUGAUAUAUUUUCAUUGACAGAAUCAGUCUCCACGUUGAAGCUCCAUGAUGAUUGCCAGAUGCAAUCACCUUGCUCUGCAAAAAAUAAACAUAAACACAUCAAUCUUAUGACUAGUAGCUGAGAGAUGAAACAAAUUAUAGUGAUCAGGCACCGUGUAGAAAUACUGAACAAGGGACAUGGUCUGACUAGUAGGACUUUUUAUUCAUUCCUCAAGCUUUUUGUCACUAAAAAGGGACGUGGAUGCAACAAAUUAUACAAGGAUGAGAGAUGAAAAGCAAACCAUCUGUUUGUAGAACAACAGCACUCGCGAACGAAUCAUGCGGCCAGUACGAGAAAUCCAUCAGGAAGGAGGAUGGGGGCCUUCUGAUCCCGGAGCAUUUGCGAUCAGGCACCGUGUAUUUCGAUUCAGCCUCCUCCAUGGCACGCUCAGCGGCCCCUCCCUUGUAGAAGAGAUCCAUCAUCAAAGCAUCCCCCGAAGACUCCUCCAUGGCAGGGUAGAUUUCGUCCUCCUCAUCUUCGUCCUCUGAUGAUGUGUAGACCCAGAACUCCUCGUCCUCGUCCUCUUCUGUGCUAGCCAUGGCCUCCUUCUCCUCAUCCUCUGACAUGUCCACCAUGGCCUCCGGUGUCUUAGGUAACAGCUCCACGGACGCUAUCACCCCACUAUUCUCGGCCAGGGUGAUAGUCACCCGGGAAUGGUCCUUACAACUGGACGCGCUCGGAGACAGCACUCUCAGGAUAGGGUUAGCGGCUUCGCCGCAGGGCUUAAGCAGCGGCGCUUUCUUCCAGGGGAGUGAGAGCUUGAACGUAAUUGGCUUUGCCCCAUCGCCCCCUCGGAGCACCGCGACGACGUAAUGCCUGCGGUGCGCGAGGGCGCUCGCGACGCGAGCGAGGCGAGGAACGCCGGAGAACAUGGUUGGGGAGCCGUCGGAGAAGAGAGCACGAGAGGGGUGCCGCAAGCGCCAAUGGGAGGGAUGAACUGCCAACGUGGGGAGGAGGCCCCGGUUUGAAGUGUGGGAGGAGGCCACAGGUGCCAGCAUGGGAGGGAGGCCGAAAAGGCGUGGCUACUUUUAGAUGAUGAUUUUUUUUUGUUUAACUGUUGAUGAGGUCCCACCCUGGACAGCAUUGAUAAUAAUUUCCACGAUUUCUUUUCCUUUCUUUUAUAAUAAUUCCCACCGAUUUAUUUGGCGUCGGAUCAGCAUUGAUAAUUUAUUUGGCCUUGAAAGGAAUCAGCAAUUCCAUUAAAUCAAAGCCCCAAAUCAACCAGCCCAGCCCAGGCACACACGCGAUCCCUCCCACUGCGAUCUCCCGCGGGGAUCGAGCAGCGCGGCGGCGGCGGCGGUGGCGGGUAAAGGAAGGGGACGAGAUGAGGAAGCGGGAUCGGGAGAACACGUGCGGGGUCUGCGGACCCCACCACAAGUACGACGAGGAGGGGGAGGUCUGCGGGGUGUGCGGCCACCGGUGGAAGCCGUCGGAGGGGGAGGGCACCCCGGCGAGGCGAGUCCGCCUUCCCCACCGAGGUGCUCAAGGACUUCCUCUUCCUCAAGAGCUACGACAACGACUCCCGCUCCGAGGUCAUCUGGACGCUCAGCAUCUCCCACAUCCUCAGCGUACGUACUGCGCACCCCGCCCUUUUCUGGAUGGCCCCCGUUUGAUUCCUCGUUUGCGAUUUUUGAUCCUGCGUGGUAAAGUUGGAGAAUGAUUACCCAUCCGUUUGAUUCCUCGUUUGCAAUUUUUGAUCCUGCGUGGUAAAGUUGGAGAAUGGUUCCCCGUCAAAAUGGAAAUAAAGAAGUUGGAGAGUAACGGUGUUGGCGCCAUCUAGGGGGUUUUUUUUUUUGUAAUUUGUGACAAUUCAUGGUUUAUUGAGGAUAUCUUUGGUGAAUCUGUGGUUUGUCAUCAUCCAUAGAACAUGCUACAUGCUUGCAGUUUGUGCUGUUGUUGCCUGAAAGGUUAUUUAGGUAGGUUUAGUGUAUAGCAAACAAAUGGCCAACGUUUUUGUUUUGUGUAGUGGUGGACUUAUGGCACCUGUUUGCUCGUAUGAAAACUGUGAUGAAGUGCAGAAAGAAAAAUCAGAACAUAGGAAGACAGUAAUUUUUCUAUCUGCACAUAGGAAGACACCAAAUUUUCUCUUCCAAAUCCUUCAUCGUUUUGCUCUUUUCACAGCAUUAGCUGCACCAGGCAUCAAUUUUCUCCACUGCACUACCUCCUACCAUUCCUUUAGCUGGUAGUAACAAUACAAGGUGAGAAGUAGUCACCAUCCUAUCUUGCUUCCUUCCUUUUAUCAUCAGCCACAGAUUCAUGUAUGUCUGUUUUACGACACCACAUUGGUGUUUGACAAUUAUCUGAUUGAUAACGUUGUGUCAGUAGAAUUGAAAACUUGCUGUCAAAACAACAUAAUGAACAUGAAGUAGCACAGAACCAAUUAUUAGUAUCAUUUAGUAUUCAGAUUGCUAUAGAUCGUAUUAUCAGUAUUUUAAAUAAGAUUUCUUGUGUCACAUAGCUAUUGAUAAUACUAUCUUCAUUCAAUAAAGAAAGUUACAUAUCAUAUACUAGUGAUUUGAAUAUGGUGUCAUCACUGGUUGAGUGUUUUCAAAACUUAGAGGCUAGAAGAAAUUAGUAAUGAAAAUAUACCAAUGAAAUGCCGAAUCAGGAAUACCGAAUAGUUCAAUCUGACACCCCGUUGAAGCAGAUAGCAAUAUCAAAGUUGCAGAUGGAAAUAAACCUUUACUUCAAAAAAAAAUUAAGAAGUUUUGCUAGUCUGGUUGCAUAUGGUCUAAAUCACUAGCUCAAAAUUUCCGAAUAUUCGAUUUAUAUAGCUUUUAUGAGCAUUCUUUUUAUCUCAGUUUCAUGAUGUCAUUUCUGUUUGACUUGCCAUUUCAGAACAUGGAUCAGAUAAACGCCACUCGUGGUCAUGCGAAUGGACUGAAGUAUCAAAAUGAAAUCCAAAGGAAACUGCACACACAGAUUGACGUUAGAUUAAAAAACCUUUGAAACUUCUCUACUUCAUAGUUUUGCAGUGAUGAGCUCAUGAAAACAAAACUUUAGCCACUAUAUUUUCCUUCGACAUGCAGUUGCAGAACAAGCUGCGAAUGAGAAUUGAGGUGCAGGGCUGAUAUCUGCAAACAAUAGUAGAGAAAACCCAGAAUAACCUUUCAUAAAAUGCAACUGAGGCUGUAAACCUAGAAGCAACCAGGUCGCAGCUUGUAGACUUCAACCUUGCUCUUUGAGUUUCCAAGAACGUGUCACAAGUGUAUGAGCAGAACAAUGGCGAGCUGGCGGAAAUCAUACAAGGAUAAACCCAGAGCUCAAUCUAGGCUCUCCUGCCGCUAGACUGUUAAAAUCAAUUUUUGCCCUUGACUGUUUCAUGCACCCUUCAGUGCGAUAGUUGAAGAUUAAUCACUAUGUUUAUUGCUUAACAGACUGUGCCUGAUUGCCACAAUCUAUACAAGAAUUCUAUCACGUGUCACAGUAUUCAGUGUGACAGGCCUUUGGAUUUUGAUGACACAAACCGGUUUCUAGGUACUGUUCAUUUUGCUCUCUCUGCACUUUUGGUGUGGCAUUAAGCACACACUGAGCCAUGGACUACUACAUUUUUCUCCACAUAAAGCUGCCCCUGCGAAAAAUAUGCUGCUACCUGAUGCUGAACUUGAGUAGGUAUCCUCUGCCUGUCAUACUAACAUAUUCCAUUUCUUCUCUACCAUUGUAGUAAUAGGUUCAUUAUAUAAUUGUUUGAACUUGAUUUUUGAGCGCAUGCUUCCAUUCAACAUGGUUCAUGUCUCUGUUAAGAUGAAUAAACAUUUGUAUGUGUACUGUCUUUCUCCAGGUUAUUUUCUGUUUGUAUGUUGCACAACAGCCUUUUCCCUAGUGCUUCUUUCUGAAAUUUUUACAAAUGUAAAAGUGAAGGGAUUCUAUUUUACUUCUCGUGUACUUGAGCUACAAGACCUCUUUAUUGCCGUUUGUCACGAAUAGGAAAUUUUCAUUUCCUUCUCUGCAAUUUCAGGAAAAUGUGAAAGAGAUAAAUCACGCAUUCCUUUUCAUUGCAUGACUGGAAACAGCAGGUACUUGCUUGUGGAGAAUUUUUCAUUAGCACUGACACUGUCAGCAGUGUGUUGCUGAUUGAUAAACGCAUUGGUUAGGUCACAGAUGUUGUUGCAGCCUUCUUGAUGAAGUCUAGAGGAUGGGGACUUGCUCAGUCUUUCCAGUGGGUGAAAGACCAGCGGCCCCAGGUUCAUCUGACAGAUGGUUAGCCCUGUAACCUUUAAAGUUUGUUGAGCAAUCAAAGAUAUUGUCUCUCAUGUAUUUGUAAUUGUAUCCUUGGGUCCUUGCUAACCAAUGAUUCAGAAUUUUAUACCUGAGGCAAAUACAAAGUGAAUAAGCACUGGUAAACAGUAUGAAAGAGAUUGAUUUCAUGCUUAGUUUACUGAGAUGGUAUUUGUCUUAUCAAAAAUUUAGGAGCUAGGUUAUUGUAUCACGAGUAUUGCAACUUUCACUGGAGGCAAUGGGAUGACCUCUUACCCUGAUUGUGAUUGCAACAUGAUUUACACAUACAACAUGAACUGGUGAUCAGUUCCCUUCCCUUAUUAAGAUAGUGUGCAGAGUGUUAUGAAAGGGAACUGCUCUGAGGAUUUUGGGAACCAGUUUAUAGUUAUUAUCAUUCUUCUUAGUUUAUAGUGAUCAACUCACCUUUUUUAGGGCAUAGUUGUCCUUUUAAUUCUCACUGAUAUCCAUUUCCAUUUCGAAAUAUUAUUGUGGAUUCAUGGUCAAUUCAAAUAUAUUAUCCUAAGCUAACUGUAAUCUAUUUAUUCUGUAGCUUUUGAGCACGAUCUUCUGGCGUACGAGCAGAAGCUCUUUGGACCAUGCUGGCCUAGAUUCAGGUUUCCGCCACCACAUCCAGUAGUGCUGAGCCUCUACACCACAUACAGGCCUUGGAGGCUCGGGACGGGGAGGAGCAGGGUCUGGUGCUCAAGUUGGUUGAGUUGGACUCAGUCAGCAUCUCGUGCGACUCGUACAGGCUCAUGUUCGCUCUGCUCAGGCGGAGAUCCUGGUCGUGCACCAUGAUGGGCCGUCUGUCCGAUCUCGCGAGGAUGACGUUCGGGCUGCCCCGGUUCGAGCUCUCGCGGAUCCAGCGCGACUUCCUGCCCCGGCUACGCGAUGACUGUGACGACGUCGAAGCACUGCUGCUGUUGAUGAAUGCAGCGAGGACCAUUCGCCACCUGGCGGAGGCCGCUGACAUCGGCAAGGUCGUGCAAGAUGGUGCUGAAGUGCUUGGCGCAAGCAUCAUUGAUGCCGCCAGGCGUGUUGAAGAUGGAGCCGCGGAUAGUGCUUGGCUUCAAGCUCGUAUGCCAUCCCUCCUCGACGACGUCAACGAUCUGGCACAGUGCCCUGUUCGAUUCACUUGACUGGGGGUGGAUCUGAUGUCUACAUCUCUUACGUAUACAGAGGCAUAGUUGUGCUAGAAGGUUACUUAGAUGUUAGGACCAGAGCAUUUGCGAUGACCAUUAAUGGCAAUGGUGGAGCUAGAAACUCGUUUUUUUUUUCUUUAUUAGGACAGGCCGACAGUGCAAACUUUCUUCAAAAUUUGGUAUAAUUUAAAAUUCUCCGCCACUGAUUAGUGGCGUGGUUGGAAUCGCCAACAUCGAUGUCGUCAGGAAUUUUUAGAUUUAUUUGUAAUUCUGCCAUUGGACUGAUUUUGAACGAUAACCAAGUUUUUGUUAAAACUAAAGUGCUUAAGAUUUUGCUAAUUAUUUUUAUUUGUAUGCAUAAAUGCAUCAUUUACAUCAUCUAUAUGACAUUGUAAUUUAAGUUUGCAUAAUUGCACUCAAAGAUCGAGACAUCAGCAUCGAGUUUGAGCCUGAGUAGGAGCACGUCAUCGACGAACCCCUAAUUCAGCACUAAGGCAGGCGUCAAUGCUUCCUCUUUCCUAUUUUAGAACCUCCAAUUGAGCACCAAGAUUUGAGAUUUUUUAUUUUGGCGAAUUCCUAUCGAACCAACCACGUUUCCUUGUGCACGCAAUUUCAAUUCUCAUCAACCUUGUACAGAGCCCAUUAGACGGCCCCAUCAAGAGGACCACCUACAAGAUCUCAGCCGUCAAGAACCCCAUCAACGGCUGAUAUCUCCCCCUGCCUGAGUCCGUGGGCGUCGCCACGAACCGAACAACCAACUCAAAACCCCAAUCCCCCCGUCGAUUCAAUCCAAACCCAACCCCACGAAAAAUCUGGGAAUAACCUCGAAUCGCCUUCCCUGCUCUGCUUGAUCAAGCAGCGCCGCGGCGGCGGGGGGAAGCGGAAGGAAGGGGACGGGAUGAGGAAGCGGGAGCGGGAGAACCCGUGCGGGAUCUGCGGGCACUACCACAAGUACGAGGAGGGGGAGGUCUGCGGGGUGUGCGGCCACCGGUGGAAGCCGUCGGACGGGGAGGGCACCCCGGCGAAGCACGAGUCCGCCUUCCCCACCGAGGUGCUCAAGGACUUCCUCUUCCUCGGGAGCUACGACAACGCCUCCCGCUCCGAGGUCCUCAAGACGCUCAACGUCUCCCACAUCCUCAACGUACGUAAUGCAUCCCCCGCCCUUUUCUGGAUGGCCCCCGUUCGAUUCCUCGUUUGCGAUUUUCGAUCCCGCGUGGUAACGUUGGAAAAUGAUUCCCUGUCAAAAUAAAAUUAAGAAGCUGAGGAGGGAUGGCGUUGGCCGCGAUCUAGGGUUUUGUACUUUGUGACAGUUCAUGGUUUAUUGAGGAUAUCUUUGGUCAAUCUGUGGUUUGUUAUCGUCCAUAGGACAGGCUACAUGCUAUCAAUUUAAGGUUAUUUAGGUAGGUGUAUAUGAAACAAACGGCUAAUGUUUUUGUUUAGUUUAGUUGUGGUACAGUACCUAUUUUCUCAUAAGGAAACUGUGGUGAAGUGCAGGUGACAAUUAACAUGAGGAUUCAUUUGAACUGGAAGUGAAACUCAAACAGAGCAUAUGGUAACUGAAUGUCCGCAGCUUGGUUGAAACUGAUAGAAGAAAAUCGAUUCACUUGUGAUAAUUGGAGUAGUGACCUAAUUGGUAGCUAGCAAAUCCUGAUGGAAGAGGAGUAUACCAUGGUGAUUAUUACUCAUAAUUGGUUUCUUUACUGGUUAAGUGUUCCUAUGGGAUCUGGAAAUUAUAAAAUCUGAUAGUUUAGCUGAGAUGAUUGUGCUUAUUGGAGAAUACCAAAGGUAUGGUUUCUGGAAUGUUCUUAAAUAGUUUUCGUUACACAGAGAUAGGUACCAAUCCUUCAUACCAUAAAAGUUGUUUAAGCACGUUGUGAUAGCUAUGUCAAUUCAACAUCUAAUAAUCUUCAUGGUAGAUAUAUGUGUGUAGCCUGUUUGGGUUCAGUAUUAGUUAUGUUGCUGUCAUAUAGAUCAUGUUCACAUCAAUGGCUUUUUCAGGCUAAUUUCUCAAUAUCGUUUUUCUUUUGAAUCUAUAGACUGACAUAUACUUGACAGCCAACUUUUAGUGUACUCCUGCUAUUGACUGUUAAAAUAACUUUUUCCCUUGACUGUUUAGUGCAUCCUUCAGUGUGAUAGUUGAAGAUUAAUUGCUAUGUUUAUUGCUUAACAGACUGUGCCUGAUUGCCACAAUCUAUACAAGAAUUCAUUCACAUAUCACAGUCUUCAGCGCGACAGGCCUUUGGAUUUUGAUGACGCAAACCGGUUUCUAGGUACUAUUCAUUUUGCUCUCUCUGCAUUUUGGUGUGGAAUUAAGUGCACACUGAGUCAUGGACUACAUUUUUCUUCACUUAAAGUUGCCCCUGUGAAAAAUAUGUUGCUACCUGAUGUUGAACUUGAGUAGGUAUCGUCUGCAUGUCAUACUAACAUAUUCCAUUUCCUCUCUACCCAUUGUAGUAAUAGGUUCAUUAUAUAAUUGUUUGGACUUGAUUUUUGAAUGGAUGCUUCCAUUCGACUUGGUUCAUCCAUCUGUUAAGAUGGAACAAACAUUUGUAUGUGUACUGUCAUUCUUUAGGUUAUUUUCUUUUUGUAUGUUGCACGACUGCCUUUCCCCUAGAGCUUCUUUCUGAAGUUUACUUUCCUGUGAAAGGAUGGAUUGUAUUUUACUUCUCAUGUACUGAGCUAUGAGACCUCUUUAUUGUCACUAAUAGGAAAUUUUGAUUUCCCUCUCUGCAAUUUCAGAACAAUGUGAAAGAGAUAAAUCACGCGUUCUUGUUCAUUGCAUGACUGGAAAAAACAGGUACUUGCUUGUGGAGAAGUUUUCAUUAGCAUUGACACUGUCAGCAUUGUUAUCAUUGAUUGAUAAAUAUUUCUUUGGAACGCAUUUAUUAGGUCAGCAGCUAUUGUUGCAGCCUUCUUGAUGAAGUCUAGAGGAUGGAGACUUGCUCAGUCUUUCCAGUGGGUGAAAGACCGGCGGCCGCAGGUUCAACUGACAGAUGGUUAGCUCUAUAAUCUUUAUAGUUUGUUGAGUAAUCAAAGAUAUCGUCCGUCAUGCAUUUAUGAUUAUAUCCAUGGUUCCUUGCUAGCGAAUGAUUCAUAAUUUUAUUGCCUGAAGUAAUUAUAGUGCAUUUUACUGUAUAUGGGAACUGUAGAUAGUAAAUAGGCACUGGUAAACAGUAUGGAAGCAAUUGAUUUCAUAUUUAGUUUAAUGAGAUGGUAUGUGUUUUAUCAAAAUUUUAGGAGCUGAGUUAAUGUAUCCUGAGCAUUGCAAGUUUAACUAGAGGCAAUGGGAUGACCUUACCCUGACUGCUUGAUGCAUUUGACACGUACAACAUAAACUGGAUUUGUUCCCUUCCCUUAUUAAGAUAGUGUACAGUGUUCUGAGCGUAUCUGUUCUUAGAAUUUUGGGAACCAUUUGAUUGUUUUUAUUCCUUAGUGAAAAGAAGACCAUUUGAUUAGUCUAUUGUACCUUGUUUAGCUCAAGCUUAACCUCCUAUUCUCACAGACGCAUUUCCAUUUCCAUGUAAAGUAGAUUCGUGAUCGAUUCAAACAUAUCAUCCUAAACUAACUGUGACAUGCUUCUUUUGUGCAGCUUCUCAGAAUGAGCUUCUGGAGUACGAGCAGAAGCUUUUUGGACCCAGUUCUCAACCUGUGAUUCCCACUGAAUCAUUUGCUUCUCUUGGAUUUGGCUACCCAAAACCAGCAGGUGACACCCAAGCACCUACGUUCAACCAAAUGACCGCGCCAUCCAUCUCCAUUUUUGAGCGAGUCGGCCCAAAUGAUGUUCCCCCGAAUUUCGCUUUUGGAGCCGAGGGGACAGCUGGGGUCAACCCAGAUAACAAUGACAAUGGUGGGGCCAAGGCCAACCCAGCUUCGACUGAUAACCCGAUGGACAGCUCUUAAGAUGAUUUCAGGCUAUUGAAUCUCCAGGUUGCUGAAGUAACCUACUACUAGGUGUAUCGAAUACUCAUCGGGGGGGUGUUUAGCUUUCAGAGGGGUAUUUUGCCCUUUUGUGCACUUGAGAAAUGGUUCUGGCAACUGACCCGCGCUGUAGAGUGACUAUGGCAUUAGUCGUAGUAAAUGAUGUUUGAAAAUCUGGAUGGUGGUUCAUAUCUCAGUUACUUUCACAUACAACUUCCGCGAUUUUCAUGCUAUUUUGUUUUGUUGUGUUUUAUUGAUGCAAAACAAAAUGGUGCGUUACGCGUAGUCGAUAAUCCCAUAAUCAGUUCAUGUGCAUCCGAUUGCUGACGUGAUCACGUGAAUCGUUAUUUGAUCAAGCGGAGGCACAGAUUAUUGGCAAUGAGGAUCCAUCCUACUCCGUACUGUGUUCUGUGGAGCAUUGUUGAAGUAUGCAAGUAUUUCUACGGCAACAAUCAUGCAUGACGCGCUAUGUAUCUGGACGUAUGGUCGACCGAUGUGGAGUAAACACGGGAAGAUCCAUUUGUAGUUUCGUACAUGGAUGACCAGGAGCGGUGGUGUUUGAUUGAAGAUUGAACAGUGUUCGCCCAAAUUUCCUCGAGGCGAAGCAAUCCUGACAGUGAUAGUGUACGUGUAGAGACUUCAUACAUCUAUACUCCUACUCUACUACACAACACAGAAUUCGCAUGUUGCGCCCGAUUCAUCGCAUCUGGACGUACUAUACAAUGAACCUGGACGCACUAGCAGAAUAGCAAUCCGGCUCUACCUCUGCACGCCCGUCGAAACAUAUAUAAACACCCUCGUGGAACUAACUACACGCCAGCCACUGCCAAUUGGCAUCCACAAGAGGAACUUGCUCGCCGGCGCACGCGAUCGGCGGCGCGGCGCCACGGCCAAAUCAUUUGUUCUUGGCGCCCCCACCUUGGUUUCGAGAUCAGCGCGGCCAUCGGCACGGUGACAAUGGAAUCGUUGGGUGCAUACAAGAAGGCAACGGCGGCCCUAGACGAGGCGGCGAGGGCUCGGCUACUACGGGGCCCGUUCAUCAGCAACGUCGCGCUCCCGUCGGCGCCGUCCCGGCGCGCGGAUGCCGACGACGAUGACGACGAUCUGAUGGGUUUGGUGAACGAGUUCUACAACGGAUACGGCGAGCACGGCACGGACGGCGUCGUAGCCAAGCACGCCGUGGCGCCGCGGAGUACCGAGUGGAAGGAAACGCUGCGGCUGACGCUGGCGGACGCGGCGGCCGACGCGGCAGCCGCACGAAUCCGCGCCGAGGCGGAGCGCAUCGUCCGAGACGCCGGGCCGGCCGUCGUCGUUGGCGGCGGCGGGAUGAGGAAGCAUCUCGUGGAGCGGCUCCGGGCGAGGGGUUUCAAUGCCGGUAAAUAUUCUACUCCUACCUCAAUACCUCAUGCUCUUCAGUUUUCAUCAAUAGCAUAAUUGGCACUCUUGUUUCGAACUCCUAGAUCGACACAAUGCAUUAACAGCGCGAGAUUAGAAACUGUUUGAAGCGUGUUAAGCGACACGGAUCCUUAACAUUUAGCUCUCUUGUGCUUGGGGGUACUCCAUGCAGGUCUCUGCAGAUCCUCGUGGGAAAGAACCAGCAGCAUCCCCGCGCCGGGCUCGUACGAGUACGUCGACGUGACAAUGAGCUCCUCGCCGUCGUCGGCGUCGUCUCGCUACAUCGUGGAGGUGAACGUCGCGGCCGGGUUCGAGAUCGCGAGGCCUAGCGCCGAGUACCGGGACCUCCUCUCGUCCCUGCCGCCGGUGCUCGUGGCGAGGCCGGAGGCUCUGAAGGAACUCGCCGCGGCAAUGUGCGCCACGGCCGCGGAGUCCAUCCGCGGCGCGGGCAUGCACGUGCCGCCGUGGAGGCGCACGCGGUACGUGCUGGCCAAGUGGUCCGCCCGGUUCGAGAGGGUGGAAGCCCCGGCGCCGACUGCCGCGGCGGGGCCACUGCCGGAAGCAGGAGCGAGGGCGGCGGCGCACGCCCGGCGGCCGUCCGGGCGGAAGAACUGCGGCAUGGAGAUGGGGCGAAGGGAGGUGGCCAUGGGACGAGAGGCGUUGGUGAGCGUGAGGCCCUCGUUCAGAGGAUUGUGAGUUUGUGACAUGGGUUUGCGCGGCGUAGCACGGUAGCAGCAUAUUCUUUUGGGCCAUGGAUUGUGCACAAUUUGCACGACUCGUAUGGCUGGAGGAAAAUAAAAAAAAAGACGUAUUGAAUUUUACUGUACAGUAUUGAUGUAUGUACAAUUUUUUAAUGAAAUGCAACUUUACAAAAGAUUGUGCUCGUUGGUAAUUCCAACCUGUGUGGCUGUGUCUACGUGCUAUGGUAGGCUCUGGCCUAGUGUAGGGUUUGACACGCUAACAAGAAACGUAUUUUACUAGUUGACUUGGAAAUCCAUCGUCACGAGUACGCAACCGAACUCUUCUAGCUUGCGGCCUUGUUUAGUUCCUAAUUUGGAAGUGGCAAAAUUGACAUUUUGCCAUAAAUGCGCAACUGUAGCAUUUCGUUUGUAUUUGUGAAUUAUUGUCCAAACAUUGACUAAUUAGGCUCAAAAGAUUCGUGUUGCAAAGUACAACAAAACUGUGCAAUUAGUUUUUGAUUUCAUCUACAUUUAGUACUCCAUGCAUGUACCGUAAAUUUGAUGUGAUGGGAAUCUUUUUUUUGGAUAGUGUCAAAGUUGGGAUUUUGGAGGGAAAAAAAGAGCUAGUCUCUCUGCAGACCGAUCACCCGUACUCGUAAGCACCAAACAAAACGUGGGUGCCUGUCUGCCUUCCUAUCAGCUAGUGCCGGCUCCACUACGAACAAGACAUUUCAACCAAGCCUGCUUACCAGGAAAGGCCAGGCAAAUCAUCCUCAAACACGUCAGCCAUGUUCGGCCCCGCUCCACCACAUGCAGAAGGACUCCGCACUGCAAAUGUUUUUUUUCCCUGAAUGGAUGGCCGCACGAAACCACCGAAUCGUCCGGGCAAAUCCGCCCUCGGCACCGAGACACAGCCUCAGCCCGAGACAGCGCGCACGCCAGCUGCCAGCAAUCAGGUUCGGGUGGGGGCGCGGGGUGCUUGCGACGCCGGCGAAAGGGACGCGGAGUGCGCGUCCGCUGACUGGAGGCGGAGCACGGGAGAUGCUGUGACUACAAGGCGAUGGCGCCUUCGGGCACAUCACUCUUGUCACGGUCACGGUGACGGCCCUGGCUGGCCCCGGCCGGGCUCCAGCAAGAUCCCAAACCCGCGCGCUCUGGGAAGAGGCGGGCCGGGGGCGGUAGAUAAAGGUCUCCGUCAGUGGGAGGGAACAACAAGGGUCUCCAAGUGCCGUAACGAAUCGUGUGCCACAGCUUUGGGCUCCUUUUCUUCGACGAAGAGGAUGUCAUGGCCUCAUGGGAAAGGAAUCUGAUCGGUUGGUUGGUUGGUUUGUCAAGUUCGUUCGUACCCGGAAGAGGAGUUUUACUGAAACUUGCAAGGACCGAGUACACACACUGGUCUGCCGAGUUUCAAUCAAACUGACCCGAUCGAAGUCCAUCCAAUUUGACUGGUGCUACGUUCGAUCACAGGUCGAUUCGGCUGAGCUCGGCCAGUUCUAUACUUCUAUGCACCUGGUUGGGAUCGAUUAGUCAAGCCGCCCGGUGUUGGCAGCGGCGUACCGAAAGGGGACCGCAGUUUCGCAUCGUGCGUUCGUGCCCAACAGCUGGUCUGGUCGUGCCGGUGGGACGGAGAAGUGGGGAGGAAAACGUAUCAGACUCGGGCGGCAGCGACUCCGCCCACAGGGGGCCGAGAAUUCCACAGGUGAUGCGCUCGCCCGCCGGCGCACCCGCCCGCGUCUCGCGCGUCGCGCCGCCGGGGACGGCGGCCCGAUUGGUCCUCCUUAUUUAGGCACCGUCUUUUGGCCCCAUCCGAGCCGAGCCGAGGCGCCAUGAGAUCCUCCCCCGUGGCGCGCCGCGCGCGCCUGCUCGUGUCUCUGCUCCUGUGCGCCGGCGCGCUCGGGUUCUUGCCCCGCUGUCAUGGCGCCGCCGAGGGGGAGAUGCCCGGCUACGUCACCGUCUCCGCCGCCAGCUUCGAGCCGGCCUCCACGUGCAGCGCGCCCGACCCAGGUACGCGGAUACUGGCAACCUGAUCAUCGGUUGUUUAAUUUCAGUUCGUCAUGGCGCGCGCGCGUGCUGAUUCGUCGGCUGGGAUGGGAUUCGGUGAGGUUUUCAGCUGCGCCGCGGCGGAACGGCACGUCGGCCGUGCUGCGGCUGACGCACAGGCACGGGCCGUGCGCACCCUCGCGGACGUCCUCGCUGGCGACGCUGUCGGUCGCUGAGACGCUACGCGCGGACCAGCGGCGCGCGGAGUACAUCCUGAGAGGUGUCGGGNNNNNNNNNNNNNNNNNNNNNNNNNNNNNNNNNNNNNNNNNNNNNNNNNNNNNNNNNNNNNNNNNNNNNNNNNNNNNNNNNNNNNNNNNNNNNNNNNNNNCAGGCGCUGAGCGUGCCGGGAUCAGCGUUCGCGGGCAGGACGGUGUGACACGGGCACGUGUGACCCGGCUGCCCUGUCGGCGUACGCGCGCUGCGGUCGGCGUUCUGGAGCGGCAUGGCGGCGUACGGGUACCCGGCGGCGCCGCCGAACGGGAUCCUAGACACGUGCUACAACUUCGCCGGGUACGGCAGCGUGACGCUGCCCAACGUGGCGCUCACGUUCAGCAGCGGCGCCACCCUGACGCUGGGCGCCGACGGGAUCCUGUCGUUCGGGUGCCUCGCGUUCGCGCCCAGCGGCAGCGACGGUGGCAUGGCCAUCCUCGGGAACGUGCAGCAGCGGUCGUUCGAGGUGCGCAUCGACGGCGAGUCCGUCGGGUUCAAGCCCGGCUCCUGCUGAUCCAUCCGCUCCCUCGUCGAUUAACUAGCUUCUGAUUGCAAACUAGUAGUAGUACAGGGUAUGCGUGUACUCGUGUACGUACACGUUCGAGAGUAUAUAGAUACAUGCAUAGUACAUGAUAGCACAUACAGACUUAGGCCCCGUUUGGUAGGGCUUCUCAAAGUGCUUCUCCAACAGCUUUUGGUGAAGCCCUACCAAAGGACCAAUUUCAAAACGGCUUCACCACCAAAGCCGGGGAGAAGCCGCAAAACGGCUUACACUAGAGAGGAGAAGCCGAAAAAAGUGGCUUCACCGGCUUCUCCUCUCUCUCCAAGCAUUAAGUGAUCAUAAAAUUACAUAUAUUGCCAUUGAGAAGCCGUUUUACCGAACGUUUUGCAAAAUGGCUUGAGCUUUACUAAAAAGUCACUCCACCGAAGGAGCCGAAGCCGAAGUCAUUUUAUGAGAAGUCAAAGCUCUACCAAACGGGACCUAUACAGGAUGGGUCACGUCGUCGGUGAAAGAAAGUUGUUUCGUUGUUGGUGGAAUGGAAGGGGCUAAUCAGAGACGUAAACGCGUUGACACUUGACACGUUCCGGCUGAUUCGGCGUGCUUUUCGUUCGUUGAUAGUGCAGUGUUAGGAGGGGCGCGUGGACCCACUUUGAUGUGUUCUUUUGAUAGCGGCGGCUCUGCUGCUCUCCGUAAGAUUGGACUUGGACUGUGUGGCGAUAUGACGCGCACCAAAGUCAUCGUGGACUUGAGUCCCACGAGAAAGAUGAGCGGUUGCUUUUUAUUUUUUUAAUGCAUUUUUGAGGGGGAUGAUCCGGAUGGAUGUUGUAGUUGUUUGUUGAACAUCCAUGGUCCAUUCUCCAAAGAGGUUGGAAAUUCGACCACAUAUAUAUGAAUGACUGUGCUCCCCGUAAAAAAAGAACAAUGUUUUAGCAUUCAAAAUUUAUCAAAAAAGAAUGAUGUUUAGGAUUUAAAUCUUAUGUAUGGAUAAUUUGGUGUGUUGACCUCGUGCAUGCAUGAUUAAAUGGAAACAUAUUUUCUCCAUUUUCUAUAUUAAACUGAACUAACUAAGGGUGCAUGCGUCUUUUUCAUUCACCCCUAAUCUGUUUGAAAAAUUCCAUAAAUUCAUUCUUUUUUGGGACGGAGAGAGUAUGUAUUAGCUGCAGUAAACAAAAAGAAGCAGCAGUUCGUGGGAGCAUAUGUUUCCCUCCAUUUUAAAUUAUAGAUUAAUUUAGUUUUUUUGACUAAUAGAUUUUGUUAUAUAUCUAGACAUAUAAUAUAUUUAUGUGCAUAGCAAAAGGUAUGAAUCUUAAAAAGCUAAAAUAAUUUAUAAUUUGGGGUGUACGAGUAGCUCAUAGCAAGACACUUGAAACUUCUUUUACCAUCAUUGUAGACGCCGGAAACGACAACCGACACAUAAAUACUCAUACAUAUUAAAAGAACUCAUAAAUAGUGGGUUCCAAAAGAAAAAUACUCCUAUAGCGCAAGCGAGCAUUUAGAAACACUACUUAACGACAAAUGUCUUUAAGUUCCAUGAGACAAUUCACAAAGACAUAACACAUGGUAUGUCUCUAUUUGUUUGCUGCACUAGCAAUAUAUUGAAAAAAAUGUGUUUACUUCCGUACAUACCAAUUCUCCAACUCAACCUCAUGCAGGCACAGGUAUACAUGCAUACAUCAGAUAUUGCUAAUUGCACUAUAUUUGUUGAGGUAGUUCACUCCGUGUAUCGAGUGUCUUUAUGAGAUAUAAGGUCCAAGUAAAAGUCUAUGUACAUAAUCUUGUAUUGGUGUUUUACAAAAAAAAAAACUCUGCCUCUGUACUUGACAUUUUCUCUUUUAUUUUUGAGGCAUUGUACUUGACAUUUUCUAAAACACCACAAGAAGUGUCUUUACCGUUGGCGUGGGGAGGGAAGCAUGACGGGCCGAGUCGAAUGCUGGGCUGGGCCGGAAGAAAAGAAGGGGGGGGGGGGGGGGAGAGUUAGACCGUGGGCUGGUUGGUUUCGGCCCAUAUCCGAGUUGUAGUUUAGAGAUAGGUUUUUUAUUUGUUUGGGAAUUGGGAGUUUAAAGUACUCACCUAUGUUAUUACUAGAAAUAAUCUAAAGUAUCUUAAAUCUGCAUAUAUUUGAUAAUAAAACACCCCAAAUAAUGAAAUAAUAUAUUCUUCUAAAUUGCCAAUUUUCUACCAAUGCUAAUAAAGAAAAAUACUAGGUAGCAAUGUAUGAUGUGUGUCACCAUUUAUACGUGUAUACCUGUAUAUGCAUGAAGCAACGGCAAUGCAAAUUUUCAUGUCAAAUACAUAGUCAAACUAAGGAUUCAACUAAACACAUAAUGGAUGAAAAAGUGUAGACUAUUAGUUGCUAGCUAAAUCCUAUCACAAUGGAUAAAGAUAAGUACAUAUCUAUAUAAUAUUGUGUCAAAAAUUUUAACAAAUGAGAGAGGAAGGUAAUAAUUUUUUAUUAGCUACGUGUUGUAUUUUAUUUAUAAAUUUUUAAUACUUAUAUUUCUCAAAAUUACUAGCCCGUGCGGAGACACGGUUUGAUGGACUAGACAUAAUCAUCAUAAAUAAAUCAGCUCAAUUAUUGAGAAAGGCAACAUAAUAUAUUAAACUUUAUUCAUAAACAAUCAGGAGAAAAAUACAAUUUUCUUUUGGUUGGUUGUUCGCACACUCGCAUCAUGUUUCAAUCACAGCAGAAUGAUUAAAAUCGAAGUACUAUAGUUGAUGGCAGCCACAAGCACCUCGAGAGAAGCCUGCUAUGUAGCUUCCUCCCCGCAGUGUCAUUUGCGUCAACGCCCUCGUGGGCACCGCCGAUCAGCACGCCCCAGCCCUGAAGCCCACAGCGCCCCCGCUGACGUCGUACAGCACCUCGAACGUUCGCUGCUGCACGUUGCCGAUGAUGCCCAAGGCGCUGUCGUCGCUGGUGGCCGCGAAGGCGAGGCAGUUGCCCAGAAUGAUCCCUUCUCCGACGAGGUCGACGACUGCGCCCCCGGAGAACACCAGCGCGACGGCCGGCAUGCUGAUUGUGGACUGGCCACUGAAGUCGAAGCACGUGUCGAGGAGGCCGCUGGGCGGUGCCGCCUUGUACUUCUUCAUCCCGGCCUUGAACGCCGACGACAGCGCCGAGUAGGCCGUCGGCGGCAAGCGCGUGAUGACCGUGCCGGAGUCCAUGACCGACCCGGCGGAGAAGACCGAGGUGGGUAUGUUGAGCUGCCUCCCGCCCACCCUGAUGGCCUGAAGGCGCACGCCGUAGAACGUUGGGACCUGCCUCAUCCUGAGCAUCGGCGUCUUGACGAAGCCCGAGCUUCCAGUUCCAGCACCGAGCGUGAGGAACCCGGAAGAGGUCGAAGUCCGCGGGAGGCAGUAGGAGAAGGCCUUGCCGAACGUCCCCGCCGUCUGCGUCCAGAUAUUAGUACAAAGAAAGCACGACAAUCUGAGCCUGGCGGUUUGGUCGUCGAAGCCCGACUCCACCUGGUUGCACCCGAACUGGAAGUUGGUGACGGUGUUGGAGCCCAGCACGAGCGUGUCGGAGCUGUAGGUCCCCGUCGUGCUGGAGCCAUCGCCGUACCUGACAAUGUACUGGCACUGCUGGGAGCUCGAUCAUCCGUUUCCCUCCACGCCGAGCUGCACGCAAGUGUCAGAGGUGCAAGAGAACGGGGAGUAGGUGCUCGACGCGCUGGGGUCGAAGAGCGGGUCCACCUGGGGGUGGCACUGCGAGCACGGUUUGCACUGCACCCAUGGCACGUCGCUGCCGGAGUCGAUGAGCAUGGUCUGGGUCACGGCCGGCGAGCCGAUGCCGACGGUGAUCACGUACUCCAACGUGUGCAGGAAAAAACCCAGCGUGGUCGGCACAGUAAGGUCCGAGUGCUGCUGGACGUCGCCGGCGCCGGCCUUGGCGCCAGAGAACUUCCGUUGGAUGUAGGCAGCCCGGAGCUGGUCACGCCGGAGCCUCUCCUCCAAGGUUGGCAUCUUAGUGAUGUUCAACGGCGAGCACGGGCCAUGGCGGUGGUGCAACGGCACCGUGGCGGCGCCGGGCAACGGAGCUGCAGCUGAAACAAUCAAAGCAGGGGAAACGAUUAGCGAUUACGACUGUGGACAAGAAUCACACCAAAUGGAAUCGCAUUAUUACCUGCACGGACAGUGUACCGUACUGUACCUUUGCGCUCGGAGCAUACAGCGUCAGACUUCAGAGAGUCAAGGGACAGAACCUUAGACAUUUAAUUUGGACCAGUUUAGGACUGCAAAAUGAUUGUUGUAUAUAAACAUAUACUGCAAGAGUCAGUAUACAGGCAAGAUGUUGCCUUUCAAAAAAAAUUUCUCAAGUUGCCUUUCAUUUUCUGGGACUGUAGUAGACGAUGAAUUAUUGUCUUGUUGCAAUGCGUAUAGACAGGGAUUAGUCAAACUGUUAUACGGUUACAAAAUAAUUGAGGCAUUUAGAAAUAGAUAGAGGUAUAUAGAAAAAUGAUAUACUACCAAUCUAUUCAUUAAGAAACUGGAGUCUAAUUAAUUUUGAUUUUUCAAAAAAAUUUGUACUACUCUAGUUGGGCUACCGAGUAUUUGUCUCUCGCAUUAGUUUUUUUUUUGUCACAAUUACAACCCUCCCUCAACCACCACCAUUGAACAUCUUUGUAUGUUGGUACUUCUUUUUAGUUAUUUUCACCGUUCGAUUUCUCGGGAUGGACAGCUCUUAUUUUUUUCAAUCACUCUAAAAUCUCUCUUGUUAUAAACCUUGGAGAUCGUUCCCCUUUUGUGUGGAUGCAUGUGUGGUUUGCAUGGUGCCAUUCAUCAUGAUUUAAACUUUGAGUUAAUUUUUUCUUAUAUAUUUAUAAUGAUAGUUGUAGGUAAUUUAGAAGUAUGUAUAUGAUGUACUUCAGCUUAUUAUUUUUCAUAAUGAUAGAUAUUGUUAAUUUGGAUGUAUAGUUAGUCGAACUAGCAAAGGGGUGGGGUAUUUAAAGCAAAUUACGUCCAUUUUCUAAUGUUGUCAACAUGAUUUAUUAUAGCAAAAUAAAUCGAUGGCUGAGUAUUUUGUCUUUUGUGAUAUAUUUUCGUCUGUUUGUGCUAACGUGAUUAUUUCACUCCUUGAGCACAAAGUCAAAUUUUCAAAAAAAAAUUGGCGGGGAAAGUAUAAAGCCAAAUUGGCCGCACAUGUGUUGUAAAACUUAGUUUGUUGUGAACCAGAUUGUUAAUCAUCUGGCUGCUUACAAAACAUAGCAUAGAUAGAUUGCGACUUUAAAGUUCUGUCACUAUAAACGACUUGUUUAUUACGUCAACUUGGCAUUUCCUUUUUUUUUUUGCUUACAAAUAAAGGAUUUUAUUCCUGUUCGGCAGUUGAGGUAUUCAUCAUGAAACGAUCAAGCCUCUAGUCAUCAUCGACGUCGAUACAGUAAUUACGCAUUAUGUUUGUUAAAGAUAAUGAUAGAUUAUAUUAGUCUGUUUUUUGUGAAGUCAAUGUGCUUAAAAAUAGGGCUUUCAAGUGAGAACAGGUGUGGUUUAGGACAGCGGACGACCCGGGCUCAUCCGCUAGCUUGUUAUAGCCGCCAUCAGGCCAUCGGUAAACUACAUUAUAUUCAGGGCCGGCUCUAUAAUUUCGAGGGCCCCCGGGCAAGGAUGAAAAUAAGGGCUCGUUGAACUAAUUUUUAAUAUGAAAACUUAAGUAUACGGUACAAAUAAUAAAAAUUAUUUUGCAAUAUAUAUAGCUCAUAAAACAUAAAAAUAGUGUAAAAAAACUAAAAAUAAUAACCAUUAUGAUCACCUCAAAUAAAAAUAUAAUGCUUCAGUGCUUUGUAAAAAACCGACUUCGGGUAUUUCUUGAUGCAAAAACUUCAAUAACGGUAUCAAGAUUAAUGUCGUCCAAAACAUCAUUUGCAAUGCUGCACAUAGCCAAGCCAUUCAAUCUUUUUUAUGACAUAGUUGAUCUAAAAUAAUAUUAAUUAGAUAACUGCUUUUUAACAAAAUUGACGUAAAAGAAAACAAAGAUGGAAGCGCUCACCUUUGACGUGCUCGGUGCUCCAAGCGAUCAAGACGUGCUCCACUGCUCCAGAAGGCAGAAGCGGCGCUCGGCAAUCCAACCCUGACGCCCUGACGGUUUGACGCGGCGCUCGGCGCUCCAGAGUCCAAACGCUGAAACGUAGCGCUCGCCUGAUCGCCUCUGCACACGCUGAGGUGCUGACCCGCGCGAUGAGGCGACGAUCGGAUUGGUGUCGGGCGGCGGCAUGGAGUCAGGACUCAGGAGCGUAUACGAUGCAGGCAUACGGAGAGUCGGAGACAUGGAGUGAGGGCGUUAGGCGUCAGCACGCAAUUUGGCAGGCUUGGCUCGCUCUGAUCGCCUGAUGCUCUGAUUCGGAAUCCGCGGCGGCAUGGCCAAGCGUAUUUGGCAGGCCUGGCAAGUAAUUUGGUAGGCCCAAUUUAGCACGGAUGGAAGGCAGGCAGUAAUUAUUACACGUGCUAUUUAAUAAGGCCGAAACAAAAUGCACCAAUCAAAUUAUAUAUUCUAACUAUCUAUAUGGUCACGGCCCUCCGGCUUCGUGAGCCCUGGGUGGUCGCACGGCCUGCCCUCCCCUUAGAGCCGGCCCUGAUUAUAUUCCCAUCAUUUUCUCUCUUGUCCCGUUGCGUCAUGGCGUUUUCUUCCUCAGGUCGCAACUCGUAGAAAGUCUCGGCCGCCGGUUCGGCAGCACGUCGCGUCGGCGUCGCUCGCCAUCCGAGUCGUCGUAGCAUCUCUUGGCGUCACGCCCUCUAAUAAAAUGGAUCAGUCUCCUGCAUGUGUCCUUUCAAAUGGAAAGUCCCUGAUAAACUCCUUGUGUUAAUUAACAAUCAUCCACACGUUAAGACAAAGCAAGGCUCCAAUAAUUCGUUUCCAAAUAGACUACUGGACUGGAUUGAACCAACGGCCGGCCGUCAGGGCCGGCUCUAUAAUUUCGAGGGCCCCCGGCAAGGAUGAAAAUAAGGGCUCGUUGAACUAAUUUUUCAUAUGAAACUUAAGUAUACGGUACAAAUAAUAAAAAUUAUUUUGCAAUAUAUAUAGCUCAUAAAAUAUAAAAUUAAAAAUAAUAACCAUUAUGAUCACCUCAAAUAAAAAUAUAAUGCUUCAGUGCUUUGUAAAAAACCGACUUCGGGUAUUUCUUGAUGCAAAAACUUCAAUAACGGUAUCAAGAUUAAUGUCGUCCAAAACAUCAUUCCAAUGCUGCACAUAGCCAAGCCAUUUAAUCUUUUUUAUGACAUAGUUGAUCUAAAAUAAUAUUAAUUAGAUAAUUGCUUUUUAACAAAAUUGACGUAAAAGAAAACAAAGAUGGAAGCGCUCGCCUUUGACGUGCUCGGUGCUCCAAGCGAUCAAGACGUGCUCCACUGCUCCAGAAGGCAGAAGCGGCGCUCGGCAAUCCAGCCCUGACGGUCUAACGCAGCGCUCGGCGCUCCAGAGUCCAAACGUUGAGCCGCAGCGCUUGCCUGAUCGCCUCUGCACCCGCUGAGGCGCUGACCCGCGCGAUGAGGCGACGAUCGGAUCGGUGUCGGGCGGCGGCAUGGAGUCGGGACUCAGGAGCGUAUACGACGCAGGCAUACGGAGAGUCGGAGAUACGGAGUCAGGGCGUCAGGCGUCAACACUCAAUUUGGCAGGCUUGGCUCGCUCUGAUCGCUUGAUGCUCUGAUUCGGAAUCCGCGGCGGCAUGGCCAAGCGUAUUUGGCAGGCCUGGCAAGCAAUUUGGUAGGCCCAAUUUAGCACGGAUGGAAGGCAGGCAGCAAUUAUUACACGUGCUAUUUAAUAAGGCUGAAACAAAAUGCACCAAUCAAAUUAUAUAUACUAACUAUCUGUCAUGGACCCCCGGCUUCGUGGGCCCCGGGCGGUCGCACGGCCUGCCCUCCCCCUAGAGCCGGCCCUGCCGGCCGUUGGAAAUCAAAGGAGGUCGUCGUACGUAGAUUAUGGCAACUGAUGGUCACGCGUGAGUGAGUAGGAGCCCGUGGUAACUGCCUGACGUUCUCCCCUCGCUCGUUUAUUUGCUUCUCGGCAAGGAAACGCAGCGUGGAAACGCCAUGGACUUUGCACGUAGGUCGAGCGGGCUCAACAAUCUGUUCCUGCCAUGGUGUUCCUCGAUCUACUCUUGCUGUGUGAUCGAUGGGCUGAUGGCUGCGUCCUGGGAAAACGGUUUCUGUUUCCCGUGCGCGCGCUGAUCAGCUAAUUUCGCCUCCUGGGCAUGUGCGCAGCCAGCUUUUGUCAGGAUUCCUGCACAGUGGAGCUAGCUAGCUUGCGUCGUAUCUGCAACAGCGCCCUUGAUGGUGCAGUUCUUGAAGUAGUGCAGGCCCUUCUGGUCAUACAGCGCGACCUGGCCGCCGAUGACGGUGGCGUUGUAGAAGGUCGCCUUGGUUCCCUGCACCCGCAGCGCCGGCGCCUGGGCCUUCUUAGCGCCCGGCUUCGGCAGCGGCACGUCGUUCUUGAAGACGAGGCCGGAGGCGAUGAAGUAGUCGGACUCCACCGUGACGGUGGCGCUGCCGACGGUGCCGAGGGGCUUGCCGUCCUUGCCCGGGGUGGUGGCGGUGUCGUUCCAGACGAUGACGCCGGGGUUGCCGGGGUCGGACAUGAAGGUGACGAAGGGCUUGCUCUUGCUCAAGAACACCUCCUCGCGGAACACGACGCCGGGCUUGAGCAGCUGGAGGGUGUAGCGCUUGGUGCUGCCGUCGGGGAUGUUGGCGAUGGACUCGCUGAUGGUCUGUAAUAACCGUUCUCACCGCCCAAGUCGUUGGUGGGGUUGAUGCCAUUGCCGACUCUGUUAGCCCCGGGUUGAUUUCAGCAUGCAUGCGUGCGUGUUUCUAAUUUUCACUAUCUUAGCAGCUUUUCGCGUCUGGAGGAGCGAUCGGCUAUAGUUUCACCCUUUAGGAUCGACGGGUGUAAUUGCUCAAGCAGAUUCGUUGCGAGUGUCUUUGCUUUGUUGCUUCAAUUCGGUUGCCCUCGGCCCAUUGACAUUGAGACGGAGACGACCAACUUUUUCACGAGGUUGUGCAAAUUGGUGGUUCAUGCGUGGGAUGGAGAUGACCCCCUCGCGGAACGCUACCCUGCGCUUCUCAGUCACUGCAAGAGCACCAAUUUGACUGUCGAGCAAGCAGUUCAGAACGGGCUUCUCCAGCAUGAGCAUGUCGCGGAAAUCCAGUCUGAAGCUUUCGUUCUGCUGUGUUGCUGGCAGUUUCUGAGAGAAGUGCUACACACUCUCUGCAAGGGAAGAGGCCAGGCUGUGGGGAUGCCGGUUCAAGCCUGGCCGUCCGCGCGUUACCGAUGGGCGGUGCCUGCUAUUUACUUCGGCAAUGCAUGUGAUCAUUAGCUAAACAGCCUAAACUCUGUUGUAAAACUUUAACCAUCAGCCGGGCCGGUUUUGGCCAAUAUCAAUGAACAACUUAGUACAAGCAUACAGUCUUGUCAUAUAAGAUAAACAAGAUUCGCAAGAGGUUCAUCACUCAUCAGAGGAGAUAAACAAGAUGACGGUAAAUUAUACAAAAUGUGGUUUUUCAGCUUACAACAGCGGCGACGAGAUUCUACUGCACAAGCAGUUUCUCGUGUCGCCAUACUACAGCAUAUGAUAGUUCACGGACAAAAAAAAGGUGUGAUCAAGCUGUAAUACAGGUGCAGCUUACAAUUUACAGCAGUACGAGGGUGAAAAGUACCGUCUUCUUACUCUACACCCAUACCUCAUCCUUCUCCCGUGUGAAGUACAAAGUCCACCCGUAACAAGAACAAAUAAUUGGUACGGGCAGGGAUACCACAAGACACUGGCUGUAACAGGGAGUCUUUGCAAAAUUUGUCAGGCUUUGCCUGUGCAGCUUCCCAUAAGAUUACAGUGGCAUCUAAACGAUACAAGUUAAACUGCUGGUGUAUUACUAUGCAUAUCUGCAUUAAACUGAGAUGUCUAGAACUCUAGAAGUAGUCACUUACUGCUGUGGUAUAAUAGGGCACUGUAAUUUUUCAGUGCCCAUUUGCUAUAAAAGGGGGGUCAUUUCUUUUCUCUGACAUAUGGUAUUCAGUUCACAGUUUCCUCCCUUGACAAUCGAAUGAAUAAAUAUCAUCAGAGUUGUGUUAUUAACAAGCCAUUCUUUGGCAUAUGGUCUUCCAGUUCUCGACUUCCUCCCUUGUCAAGCAAAUGAAAUUAACUGUAUUAGCUUACAUGAGUAGUACUACUAAGCAAAGUUCAAUAAAACAAAGAAAAUGCAAGGAUUAAGAGAGAGCAUAUAAGCUUAUGACUAACCGCAAGCAGCAACCAAUAGAAUCAUAAUGUAGAAGGGCAAUCGGCUUGCGCUUUCCUGCAGUUCUAUGGCCAACACCACGCUUAACUACAGGCAGCUGCUUUAUCCCUUUGGCCUCCAUAAGAUUUUUCGCAGUGGUCAAAUCAGUAUCUGGAAAGCAUGUUAACAAUCCGCGUUCACUCCCCCGGUACUGGAAACCUCGAGUAACACAUGAUGAAAUGGAGGGUGAGUUCUGCAAAUAACCUUUGAGUUAAUAUAUUUUUCCCAUCAGAAAGUGUGAAAAUUAUUUCUUUAUCUUUAGAAGCUAGGAUGAAUGCACAUAUAUUAGGCAUCAAAAUCUCAGUAACUUUUCAACUUGGUGUUUUGAAAGUUAAACCAAGUAAAAAGGGCACACGCUAAUCUGUUACUUGUUACCAUAGCCGUAUUUACUGUUACUAAUUGGUUACUCUGAGUUGAUCUCAUUGCAAAAAGUAACAUAGCUCAUUGAUUGCUGACCUUAGCCCAAAUCUACGCUCUAAGGAUUUUAUGUUGUGAAAAAAAUCCAUUCCUUAUGAACGAAAAAGCAGUGAUCCAGCCAUAUUUUUGAAAAGCAUAGCAGUAUUUCAAUGGGAUGGAAGAAUUUUCUUUCACCAUGUAGACAUACAUCAGUCUUGGGGCAGUCUCCAUCAAUGAAGCUUUCCCCAUGUAAUUCAAAUCCCAUGCGCCUAAUAUCCCCUAAUGUAAUAAUUCCUUCAAGGAAAUCUUCAGUGUCCACAACAAGGGCACAAUUUUGCUGAUUGUCAUGCAAUAGCUGAAAAGCUUCUGUUACUGUUGCAGAUGGUAACACUUUGACAUAAAUCCUUGACAUGGCCUGGGAGACCUGAUUAAAAGGUACAGAUAAAAACAUAAAUAAUGGCACAAUUACAAACUUGCAUUUCUCAAGCAUUAUAGAGUAAGUCAAUUAAGCAUGCUAUAUAUGAUAACAAGAACUGGAUAUGGGUAAAAGCUGCCAUAACAAAAGUUGACAAACCUUCAAAUCAUCCAGAAGCAUUUCUUCAUUAUAAGUUCCAUAAUUAUUAACAUCACUUUGUAUAAUACUGAGCUCAAGGUCAUCCGCACCAUCAGCUCGCUUCGAGCUACCAUUUCUGUCUUCUGAUGAAAUUGAAGAAUAACCUCGUCUGGGUGUUCUAAAACCAGAAGGCUCACUGUCAUUUGGUUGAUUUACUACAGAAGGAACCCAUAUUGCCAACCCAACUGCUCCCUGGUACAAGAUUGCCAGGAAAUAGAAUGUGCAUUAGUUCGAACAUGCAAUAGGAGAUGAAAUGACCUAUAUGUCAACUAUAUAAAAAUGGUACCAGAAAUAACUAAAAAAAAUUAUGUUUGUACCUUGUGUAACGAAAAUAUAGAAAGACCACAUCAACAGUCAGCACUUACCAUGAGAGGAAGCAAAAUCCUGUAAUCCUUUGUCAGCUCGAAGAGAAGCAACACUGAAGUCAAUGGGACUGAACAGACUGAAGCUAGUGUAGCAGCCAUUCCAACCUACAUUCAGAAAAUCAGUGUUAGUGCACAUUAUUAUAGCAAUAAGAAAAAAGGGUUGCAAAACUUACCAGAGCAUAAGCUUGUGGCUGUGCAACAGCAGCAUUACCAGGUAUAGCUGAAUUUAUUAAAUAAGCAGCUGAUCCUCCAAAUACAGCUCCAACAGCAGCCCCAAUCAUCAGGCUAGGAGCAUAUAGCCCUCCCACGAGGCCAGAGCCCUUGCAGAGGGCAGUUGCAACCACCUUUGCAGCUGCGAGUUGAGUUAACAACCAUAUACCAGGAGCAGAAGCACUUUUUCCAGUAUGCAAUAUUUCUUCAACAUUUGUGAAACCCCAGUAUAAAAUCCCUGGAUAUUUCAGAGCUAUGAGGCCUGCUCCCAGCCCACCCAAAGCAGGGUACACUAUAAUAGGGAAAUUAAACUUUUCCUUUAUGCGCCCAAAUAACCUUGAAAACCAUGCUACCAGUCGGUCAAAUACCACACUGACCACUCCACAGAGCAUUCCUAAGAUGAGAUACAGGGGUAACUCUGCAGACAAGUUGAAGAUAUAAAGAAUUUAGGACAACAUUAAAAGAACACAUUUUCACAUGCAAAUGAAAAUAUGAGAACAAUAUUAUGCAGUUUUCAAAACCCAGGUCAACAUCACAGAACAUUAAGAUUUCUGAAGGGAACUUGAAUUUUUUACAGCAAAGGUUAAUCCUGAAACUUAUGAGAAAAUCAUUUCUUGACGGUAUACCCGUAACCUGAACAAUGGAAUCACAUAUUUGGGCUUGAUGAAUUGACAACAGAAAAAAAAGGAAUUAGCAAGGGUGGCCCCGCAGCUUCAUAAAAAAAGAAUAGCUGCGAAAAGUACUGUAAGAAAGGAUUAGAGGAGCUACCGGCAGCAGAUUUUAGCUCAUAUGCUGGCACUAUAAAAGCUGGUCUUGCUCCAAGCAAAACAUUUGAUACAGUAGAUGAUACAACAGAUGCCAAUAUUAUCAUUGCAGUCGUAAAUGGAGGUGAAUUUUCUGCUUUAAGGGGCCUCAAUACAGUUUCAAUGGCAAAGAAGCACCCAGCAACUGCUGCAUUGAAGCCUGAAAAGCCACACACCAGGAGCAGUAUAUUAGCAAAAUUUAUAUCACAAAAAAGAUGAAAUCAUUUGUAGGGAUAACCUGUUUCGAAAAAAAAGGAGUUGAAUCAUAGAUUAAAGUCAAAAAUGAGGGAUAGGGCUAUUGGACGGGAUUGUGACUGAUGGUCAUUAGCUAUUCCAUUUUAGGGGGUUUCUUGCUACAAUGCUUGCAAAGCUAUGUUUACUAUAUUUAAUAUAGUUGUUGAAUAAUCAAAGGCGAUUUAAAUAAAAAUAAUAAUAAAAGUUGGCAUGUCAAUAGCAUCUAACUCUUUCCCCAUAUCCAACAACCAGGUCAUUACACUGCAAUUUUGUGAUCCGUCACUGAAUGAAAACUAUACCUGAAGCUAUUCCAGCAGCAGCACCAGCAGCAACAAGGGCAAUCCGUCUUUCCCGGUUAUUCUCCAUCAUUUCUGAGCAUGCAUUAGCGCACGACUUGCCAAUAUCCACACUAGGACCUUCAGGCCCCAACGAACAACCAGUCCCUAGAGUAACAGCAGCCUGGACAGCCUUUACGGUUGGGAAGAUGGCUCCAAGAAAGUUGAUUCCUUGCCUCUGCCCUGAUUUCACAAGUUGUAGCUGCUCAAAUAUCUCGAGUAACCCAUGCAUCAUUCCUACAACCACACCUCCGGUCACCGGGAUCAGCAGUAUCCUGUGCCAGGUAUCUGCAAGCCUCUGCAGGCGGAGCCAUGCUGCACCUUCGUUUGGAGUACCUGCCCAUGCCCAUUCAUGGAUGACAUGAACCUAGCAAAGCCAUUAAGGCAGCUGUAUAUGGAAUCAGUUAUUCAAGAUGCAAUCACAAAGCAUCGGCUAUUUUCAAAUUGAAGUGUUUGGGUCAGAGAUAAGAUAAUUAUUCCACAUUAGCAUGACGUGGUAGGGUUUUAAACAAAAUUUGUUGUGUUUGGAGAUCCAUCACUUCAGUCGCCAUAACAGUCACUUAAUUCCACAUUAGUUUCUUUGUACUACUACUAAAGUAAAAAAAGCAAUCUUAUCUGGUGAGAUGCACGGAAAUGUUUGUUGGGCAGACAUAAAUGGAACCAAAUUUGCAGCAUGUCGUGAACCUGAUCAUCUAACUUUUCCAUAGCAGUUACACAUUCCAAAAGUAGGCUAAAAUGUUACACCCACCCAACGACUAAGCAACCAAAACCAACUUACAGUAAGUGUACUACUCCGACUGCAAUGUCCAGCAUCCCAAUUAGGAGUAGAAAGCGCCGACUCACCCCGCGGUUGAACGCGGCGACGCAGAUGCCGGUGGCGAGACCGAGGAGGCAACCGAUGAGCAGCAGCGCCCACUCGGGCGGCGCGCCGUCCCCGAGCUCGUCGUCCUCCCCCGCCUCCGCCCUCUCCCGCUGCCGCUGCGACGGCUGCUCGACCACCACGGAGCAGUCGAGCUGCUGGUAGCCGUGCUGGUGCUGGCGUCGCCCGGCUCCGGAUCCGCGCGCUGACAUGCGGCGCUCGAGGUGGCGCAGGAGGCCGCGCACGCCGCCGCCGCCGCUGGCGCGCCUCGGAGAGGCGGUGACGGUGGCCUCGUCCGCCUCGACGUCGGCGUGGUGGUGCUGCUGCGGCCCGGCCCCGCGCGGCGAGGGGCAGGGCGGCGACGGCGCGUGGGAUCUGAGGAGCGAGGCGUGGUCGUCGUCGCAGGCGGACAUGGUGGCGUGGCGUGGUCGGGUGUCAGGGGAGCGGGGGCGCCGCAUCGAGAUCUGGAGGCCGGGAGGGGUUGCGAAUGCGAGCCGGGGAGGCAAAGUGGAGAGGUUGACGAGUGCGAAGGCGCGCGUGCUCAGGUGCCGGCACUUAUACGAGGUAUAGUUGACCAUGCAGCCCGGCACGGAGCCCUUCUUUAGCCCGGCUCUAGCCCGACCCGGUGGCUCGUGCAGGGCGUGGGCCGGCACCUCGGCAUGACGGGCGGCACGGCCCAACCCGCAUACCAUGGUCAGCUCGUAGCUGACUCGUAAACCAACGGUCGGCGGCGCCAGCCUAGUCGAGAGAGUCAUAUAUAACUUCCCCGGCUGACAGCCUCCCCCUCGCAACCCUACCCUCCGGUCCCCCAUCUCCUUCCAGCGGCCUCCACCCUCCCUUACCUCUCGUUGACUCGCUCUCGACUUCAGCUCUUCCGUCGCCACCCCCCGCCCGCCGCUCUCGCUCUCACCUCUCUCCCUCUCGUCUCCGGUGACGGUGAGAUCUUCGGGUCCUCAGCUCCUCCUCCUCCCCUUCCCGGUCCUGCUCUCUUGUCUCGUCCUCCGCGCCACGAAGCGGUGGAGGUCUCGCUUGCCACCGUUAGUCUUCGUCCUCUCACAGUCUUCCCUCCGGCAUCUCGUCCCGUCAUCCUCUCCGGCUCUGGGCUCCGGCUGCGCAGGUAACCCGUAACCCUAACCCUAGAUCUUGAUCCCGAAUCCUAAUGUUUUUCUCGUAGUCGUAGAUCUACGGUGUCUGAGUUAUGAUCCUCUCAUUCCUUCUUGUUCUUCCAAGUCUCCAUGGGGGCCGCGCGCCGUUGAGGGACGGAGCUGCCGAGGCGACGAUAUCAAUGCCGGAGGGCUGCAGCCUGCCACACGAGGUCAUUGUGAUGGACGAGAACUACACCAUCAACGACAACUUCAGGGCUUGUGGGCUGCCAGGCGACGACGAGGAUGACCUGGAUGCCGGAGCUAUAGCAAUCUUCAGUAGCUCUGCUGCUUCCAUCCAGGGUCGGUCCUGAGAUUUGGGAGGCCCGGGGCGAAAGUAAAGCUCGAGGUCCUUUAAUAUAAAUAUUAUAAUAAAUAUAUAUAAAAUGUUACCAAUAAAUAAUUAAAUGUAUCUAAAAGCAAUAUUCAUAUCAAAUUAUUUAUACAUAUUACCUUAUAAAUUUCUUCUAACAUUCCUCGAUGCAAAGUCACUUAUGAUAGAGUUGAUGUCAAUCUCAUCCAACAAUUUCUUCUCAAUGCAUAAUGUUGCCAAACCAUUUAACAUCUCCUGAGUCAUUGUUGACCUGAAAUAGUUCCUCAAUAACUUUAACGUUGAAAAGCUUCUUUCAGCCGAUGCGAUAGUCACAAGCACAGUAAAUAGAGCCGGUAAGGAAUGGAAAUAUUAGGAUAAUAAUCCACAUCUCUAACAUGCUCGAAAAUAUCCAUAGCAGACAUUACGUCAUUUGGCAAAGUGAAUUUCAUAAUCUUUAAUUCAGAAAUAAGAUCAUAUACCUCAACAUCAGAUGAACCAUCAAAAGAAAAAGUUUCUACAAAUUUAGUACAACAUUCGUCAAGUUCAUUAUCAUUUAAUAACUUCAAAGUGCUUGAGCUCAAUAAAAAUCCGAAUAUAUCUUUAAACACCAUGAGUUCUUCAAAUCUGUUGUUCAAAGAAGUGAUUGUCAUAUCAACCAAAAUAAAAAAAAUAUUUAACUUCAAAAGCCUUUUCAGCUUCAAGAAUUUCUUCUUGGCAAUUACUUCCAUCAAACUGUUUCUUCCUCGUAGCACGAUGUUUUUCUAGAAAUGAUGCCUCUACACCCAUUUCUGUUGCAAUACCUUUGGUGGUGAUCAGACUAGAAAAAAAAUCCCUCAUUUCUGUAAUUCUCAAAGUAUUGUGUUAUACCUUGUAUUUGCUUCAAAGUAGAGUCAAUGCACAUUAUUGAUGAUUGCAACUUCUUGCUCACUUUAUUUACAACAAAUAAAAUAUCACACCAGAUAACCAUACUAAGUAGAAACUCAAAGCUGCCAAGUGCAUCAAAUAAUUUUUUUGCAUCAUUUUUAUCCUUAGGUUAAAUUUCAUAAGUAUGAUGUAACUCACACAAAGCAGAUCUUAACUCAGUGGCUUGAUAUCUUAUUGUUGUAACACUUUUGAUUUGACUCUCCCAACGAGUAUUGGACAAUGAUUUCACAGUUAAACUAGGAACAUGUUUAAGCAAAACAUUCCACAUUUUCGUAGAACCAACAAAUAAUACAUAUAUGCAUUGAACAAUUCCAAAAAAUGAAACAACUUUCCCACUAAAUUUUGCCAUAGCACAAAGAGUAAGAUUUAGACUAUGGCACACACAUAACAUAUGCAAUGCUCUUGGAUUGAUAUCAAUUAACCGUUUUUAUACCCCUUGGUGAUUUCCUUUCAUAUUAGAACCAUUGUCAUAGCCUUGACCCCUUAUGUCACUAAUAUUUGGGCCAAAGUACUCCAUAGAUUCAAGCAAUACAUUAAAAAGUCCCAAACCAGAUGUGUCAUCCACCUUCAAGAACUCCAAAAGGUAUUCCUCAAUUUUUAUCUUGACAUCAGACAAAUUAACAUAUAGAACUAAUAAAGUCAUUUGUUCUUGAUGACUGACAUCAGGGGUACAAUCUAGGAUAAUGGAGAAAUACUUGGCCUCUUUAACAACCUUUAUGAUAAAACUUGUGAUAUCGGAAGCCAAAAGAGAUAUCAACUCAUUCUGAAUUUUAUGACUAAGAUAAUGAUACUGAAUUUCUUUGUUCUGAAUACAUCUAAGGUGGUCUUGCAUUACUAAGUCAAAUUCUGCAAUCAUCUCAGCACAAGCUAAGAAAUUACCAUUAUUAUCAUUAUAAAGCUGCUCACUGCUUCCUCUGAAAGCCAAAAUACGUUUACCAAGAAAUUUCAUAAUGGUUGUUAUUCUUAACAAAACUUGCCUCAAUCGUUCUUUCUCCUUUGUGAUUUGCUGCUGUAAUUCUUUAUCAAUUGUUUCCUUUUUCCACAAUCUAGCUCUCAAUUCAUUCCAACUGUUCAUGUUACUAAUAUGCUCGACACUAUUUUCUAAACCCAUCACCUGCAAAAGAACUAGGACUCUUGCUAGUGCCAGAUUUGAAGAUCUUACAGCAAAAACAAAAAACUUUAUCAACAUGCUUCGAAUAAACUAACCAUUUUCUAUCAUGUACCUCUCUAUUGCUUAAAUUUUUAGGAUAAUGAGCAUAUGAAAAAUAUCUUGAGGCAGCAUCUAGAGGAAAUUCGAUAUUUUUUUCUCUUGCAGGCCCUUUCUCGACUAAUAUAUCUCUUGCUUUAUUAUCAAGAUUAACCUAAUUUUUUGGAUCAUAAAUAUCUUAAGUGUAAAUUGGUUGCUCAUCAACACUAGCAGACUGUGCAUGUGCACCUGAUGCAUUUACUGUGUUCUCAGAGUCACUUACAUUGUUAUCAUCGACGUUGAUGUUAACAUUUUCUUCCUGAUUCCCAUUAGUUGGUUCAUCCACAAUAACUAUUGCCAACUCAUCUGGGUUCGUUGAAGCGCCCGUGUUACUUUCAAGGCUCUGAUUACUCUUGCAAAAUUUAUCCAUAACUCCUCUCGAUGAUUCUACCAACUCAUCCACAUAUCUUUUUCUUUUCCUUUUCUUGUUACCUGAUUCAUAUUUCCUAGACGACAUGGUAUCCCAUAGUGCUGAAAUUAUUCUAAAUAUACAAUAGUUAUAAAGCAGUUGAGAUUAAAUAACUUGUGAUAGUGAAUUAAUAAUUAAUGGUAUGGAGAAUUGGGGAAUUGGCAAUCGAAUCACCUGAUCACAAAAGUGAAUUGGUGCCAACCGCAAGGUCCGCAAGCCACAAGCUGAGAACCGGCAGCGCGCAGGGGUUCUCCACGCUCGUUCAGGAACACCACCUCGUGGUUACUCACUAUGUGCAACUGCAUGCAUGCACGCAUACCGCAGGUUGGUCAAGACCAGGAUUCCAGGAAACGACGACGGAGCGCGUGCCCCGGCUCGGUAACAAUCGUCGGGGCUAUGUGCAUGCGCGUACACAGUGAUCGAGUAGCGUACCUGGAUACCGGCGCAGUCGAACAGCCUGAGGUCGCCGACGCGCACGACACCACAACACGGUGGCGGCCUUGGGCGAUGGUAGAGUACGGAGUUGGAUCUAAUUGCGAUUUGGGCAAUAAGCACACCUGACACCUGGGGUGGGGCCCUUGGGAUUUUGGGGCCUAGGACGGCCGCACACCCUGCCUCCUCCCCCUAGGGCCGACCCUACUCCCAUCAAUGUGGAUACUGGUGCUUCUGCUAGUGAUGCUGCCGGAGGCGGGUCUGCGACUCCGAUGCCAGCUUCUAUCCCAUCUUCGACGCCAACUACCUCAACUGGCACCAGCGUCCACAAGGGUACCAAGCGGAGAUCUGCUGCAUGGAACAACUUUGAGGAGUUGUUUGAGGAAGGUGCCAACGGUAAGAAGGUGAGAUAUGCUGCCAAGUGCAUUCACUAUUCUUCUAUUCUCACUAGGCAUUCUUGUGCUGGUACUGGGCAUUUGCUCCAACACCAAAGAUAUGCUUGGCUAAACAAAAUCAUUCUACUCUAGUUCAGUCUUGACUUCAGUUCAAUUCUAAUGGCUCGGUCAAUAAUUGGGAAUAUAAACCUGAUGUUGCUCGUAAGGAUUGUUUCAUUUAAUUGGUAGACUUGAUCUACCUCUUGGCUUUAAUAAGACAGAGGCAUUUGAUGAGUACAUUCAGCGUGCUCAUAAUCCUCGUUUUGAUAAAGUUUCUAGGAAAACCACUACUAGAGAUUUUACCAAGUACUUUGCUGAGCGUCGUGCUUCCCUGGUUGAAUGUUUGAAGUCUUCUGUCUGUCUUACUUCUGAUAUUUGGUCUAGCAAUGCUAAGGAAGACUAUCUUAGUAUUGUUGCACAUUUUGUUUCUCCUGAUUGGGAAUUAGAGAAGAGAGUCAUUGCCCUUAGACUAAUUGAUUGCUCACAUUCUGGUGUUAACAUUGCUAAAUGUAUUGAAGAUGUGAUCUCUGAAUUUGGUUUGAAGGAUAAGAUUUUCUCUGUCACACUUGAUAAUGCUUCUUCUAACACUUCUACCAUGGUCACACUCAUUUCCAAAUUUGUUGGUUAUCUUGGUACAGACCCUGAACCACUUGACAAGGAUGACAAGAUAAAAGCAUUGCGUGGUCUCUUGCAUCAGCGCUGUGCAUGCCAUCUUAUUAACCUUAUUGUCAAGUCUGGUUUGAAGAGAAUCAAGUCUCAUCUUGAUGGUUUUAGGACUGCAAUCUUUUUUCUGAACUCUUCUAACCAACGCAUUGCUGCUUUCCAUAACUUCUCCAUUAUUAAGGGGGUAUCCCUCGUAAGUUUGGUUCGGAUAUGAAUGUGAGAUGGAAUUCUAUGUAUCUCAUGCUCAAACAUCUACUACCAUAUAAGAGCAUAUUUUUUGUCUUUAUUUCACGUCAUUAUGGUUUGCACAAUGGCCAGCCACUACUGAGUGAUGGCCAUUGGAGAGUUGCUGGGAAAAUUUUGCAGUUCCUUGAAAUGUUUUAUGAUUUGACUGUUGUUUUAUCUGGUGUUUACUAUCCAACGAGUCCUUUGAUGUUGCAUCAUAUUAUUGAGAUUGCUGGUCAUUUGCAUGGUCAAGAGACUGAGGCAUUGCUCAAAAAUAUUAUUUCUCCCAUGAAGCUAAAGUUCAUCAAGUAUUGUCAAAACAUAUCUCUGUUGUAUUCCUUUGCAUUUAUUUUGGAUCCUAGAGCCAAAAUGAGAGGUUUUCAUAAUAUUCUUCAGAUUCUUUCUCAGACAAUUGGUGUUGAUUACUCUUCUUAUUUCAGUGAGGUAAGUACUGAAUUAUAUAAACUGUUUAACAAGUAUGAAAACAAGUUUGGUGCAGUUAGGUUGCAGAGGCUCUCUCAAACUGCAAGAACUACUGGUAUGAAAAAAACUGCAUAGGUUAAGAUCUUUGGUGCUCCAUCUGGUUCAGGUAGUUCUCCUAUUCUUGCAUCUACACCUCCUAUACCUGCUGUUGGACAGUGACACUGUUACUUGCUAUGAGGAUGACUUCAACAUACUUAGUUGGUGGCACGAGCACAAACUAUCCUAUCAUAUUCUGUCCAUACUAGCUAAAGAUGUGAUGUUUGUUCCAGUUUCCAUUGUUUCUUUGGAAUCUUGCUUUAGUCUUACCGGCAGGGUGAUCGAGGAGUGGCGCUGACGGUUGUUGCCAGAGACGGUGGAGAUGCUGACCUGCAAGCACGGGGAGUUGGAAGAUGCAAGGGUACAACAUGAUGUUGAGAAUGAGAUCAAUGAACUUGAGGAAAUAUUCAGCAGCCCCUACCCAGAGCAAGAUGAAGGGCAAGCUAGUGGAAAACGAUGUGUGCAUAUUCAGUUCUGUUCUUUUAUUGCCUAUCAUGAUUUAUUGAUUCUUUAUACUAGAGCAACAUACUAACAUGAUUAAUGUUUUAUUCCUAGGACUACCCCUGCCAAUGCCAACUGAUCAAGAGCAAGCCAACUGAUCUUAUCUUGUGCCUUUAUGAUCAUGUGAUGUAAUGUUGAAGUUGGACCAUUGAACUUUUCUGAGCUAGCUGUACUUUUUUUUUCUUCCUAGGAUUUUCUUACGAGGUGUGAGUUUUUAUCUAGAAAGAUUUCUAAUGAGGCAGCCAACACUUGAUCACAUAGAUCACGUGUUGAAUUAGUAACAGCUUUAUCUAUAUAAUUUUGUCAUUCUGUGUGAAAUGUGAAUGUGUGAUGAACUUUGAUUCUGUGAAUGUGUGUUGUGUGAUGAACUGAUUGUUGAAUUGAUCUUUAUAUCUAAGCUCAAUGUUGAAUUUGAAGUUGGUGAAGGAUUUUUACCAUCCACGGGCUGCGGGCUGGCACGACACGUGCAAUUAGCCGUGCUCUGCGGGCUAGGUCGGCACGAAAAAAACAUUGCGGGUCCGUGCUUAGACCAUUGGUGCAGCUCGUGAAUCAGCACGAUACGGCACGACAGUGGGGUAGUGCCGGAUCAGACCCGGCACGAAAAUGGCCAUACCUUGCCGGGCUCGUGCCGCCGGGCAGCAAGAGGGAGGGCGCACGGCGGCGACGCCGACGCGGGAAGGCAGGAGGCCACGAGGGGCAGAGUGCGAGCGCGAGCACAAGCAGUCAAGCACCGCACAGAAACGGAGGAGUCAGAGACAGCAGACUGCGCGCCGCGCCUGCCGUCCCGUCCCAUGGCGAGCUGCGACGGCGUGUGUGAAUCUGGCGAUGUGAGUGAGAUUCCCAGCAAGGAACGGACCGGAUCUUGUGUGCCUCACGCCCUCGCCUUACUCCUCUACAACUUUGUUUGUGUUUGAUCCUGUUCGCGCGUGAGACAAACGCUGACCACAACAACAUUACAAAAAGGGCAGCGAGUUGAUUGCUGGAAAAUAAUCCUAGGGAGAGGGAGUCGUUAACUUACGUGAGAACUACUAGCAGUCAUUAGUAUUAUCAAAGAAAGAAGAGAAACUACUAGUAGUACUUCUUGGUAUUAAUUUUGCAUCACCUUUCUCAUAAAAAAAUUGCACCACCGCUCAGGCACUCACCCGGCAACCAAAAUGUUUCUUUUGUUCUUUUUGUUGGGCGGCUAUGGCGCCUAAGGACCGGUCGGCAUGAAGUGAUCCAUGGAUAUUACAACGUUUGAAAAGGUUAGCUAGUUACUAAAGUAGAUCCAUCCCUAUCGGCACUGGCGCCAAAUAUUUGGAUAUUUAAAAUUUUGAAAGCUGAGGGCCUAUAUAGAAUAGAAACAUUCAUGGGGUGGUUGGUUAUUCAAAAGUACCAACUCCAAACUGUCGGCGCAAAGAAAAGAAACGAUCAAUCGAUCAAGACGGGCCAAGACUGUGGGGUUGGCUGCUAGGCCUUAUUUAUACUUAAAUGGGCCCAAGUGGUUCGGCUCAUAUAGAGGGCCAGCUAGUUUUCGGCCUUUAUGUAGAUGUAAUAGCCCGAGUCCUCUAAAAACAAAGAGGUACUAAUAGCCCAAAUGGCGGAAAGUUUGGGCCAAAAGGUAAUCGUCCCAAACUUUUGAUUGCCUCAUUGGAAUUUGAUUUUUCCUCAGAAACAGAGCUGGGUUUUUCCCCCUCUUCAGCAAGCAAAAAAGAAAAAAAAGAACUGAAGAAGGCUACUUGAAUCUAGCUAGGCAGAAACAGAGCUGGGUUUUUUCCUCUCUUCCCACGCGCCUCCAUUCUUCUUCAUCUGAACCAUGCCCAAACAUCUCAGCACUACACGCACCUCAUCAAACUCAGGACGAUGUCCUCACGUACGCGCGCGCGAAUGGAGGCAUGGAGCAAGCAGCUCGUCGGCUUUCUCAGUUCUCAUCAUUGCCCGUACCAGCCAGAGGAGUAUUCAGAAUCCCAGAUUCUUUCCCAAAAGGAGCAGCGCUUAGAUAAUCAAACGCAACCCUUUUCUCCUUCGCCUUUGAUGGGCGGCCACGAAUUUUCGGCGCACGGCUUUAUUUAUCGCCGGCCGAUCGAGCGGCCGCUGCGGAUGGGUCGGUGAGGCCGCGCCCGCGCGCGCGGCGGAACAGCUCACGUGGUUGGUGAGAUGGCCGCUUCCGUUGCUGGUGCUCGUGUCGCCGGUUGGUGCGUGCCUGCCUGCUGCUCUGCUGCUUCGAAUCAUUCCCCUAUCAUUUUCAGGCAGCAGGCAGCGUGUUCCGCCGUUCGGGUGCUGCUGCUGCUGGUGGUGGUGGUGUUGCCCCAUCGGAGGCGUCAGGCUGAAGCUUCCGAGGAAAAAGAUUCCAUCACCGGCUAAUCAGAUGCAGAUACUGGCUAGCUAGAUUCUCUCUUUAGUUUUCACCCCCUUCUAUGAUAGAUGAAACUUGGUUAGUGCUGCAGGAACAUGAUAACACGAUGACAUGACGUGAUAUGAUAAUGUGCCGUGCCGGUAUAUGAAGAUUAGCACGUCACUUUCUCCUAUUCCUCGAUCUGAUUCUGAAGAAGCGAGAGUGAGAGUGAGGCUAUACUAGCUGUUCGGAUACUAGUUAAAGUUUAGCCCUUGUCACGUCGAAUAUUCGGAUGCUAAUUAGAAGGAUUAAAUAUGAGCUAAUUAUAAAACUAAUUGCAGAACCAUUAGGCUAAUUCGCGAGACAAAUCUAUUAAAGCCUAAUUAAUCCAUCAUUAGCAAAUGGUUACUGUAGCACCACAUUGUUAAAUCAUGGAUUAAUUAAGCUUAAUAGAUUCGUCUCGCGAAUUAGCCUCCAUCUGUGCAAUUGGUUUUGUAAUUAGCUUAUGUUCAAUACUUCUAAUUAGUAUCCAAACAUAUAGGGGCUAAAGUUUAGGGAGAGCCAAACAGACCCUGAGAAUAAGUAACUGGAACCCUAACCAAGUGGCUAUCUACCAUCAGGAAGCCUGUACAUCUGCUAGUGGCAAACCUACAUCGCUACAUCAUCUUCCUCUUCUUUUCUAUCCCACACGAAUGUGGUAGGAGUAGGAGCUCUGCCUAUUCAAUCAGGCGAGGACGGAGGGUUCUGAUGUACGAACAACAUGCACCGAUCCAGCACCAAGAGAUAACAACGCAUAUCAUUUGCCGUUUGGUAAGUGGUAACCACCUCGAUCGGUCCACCAUUUGUCAAAGCUAUAGUACGACUGAUGCUGCCCGCCAUUUAUAGUCGACGGGAGUUCUGUUUGGAAUUUAGAUUGACAGGUGCGCUUAACCGCCAGCUUAAUCGGGCCCUGGUUAGCAGAAGCCGGCUCCACAAUUAUUGUGCACCUACCUUGGCUUUGGUUACCUUACCAUCUGGCUGCAUACAUCAGAGAGCAACGUACAGUCCUAAUUCUGAAGGCAACGAUACCAGUACAAGUACACACUCGACAUCUGAAUCUUCUUUCAAGCAGAGAGAUUAAAAGAAAUGGAAUUUUGAAAAGAAAUUGAUGCCUGAAUCCCUGUACGCAGCCUUAUAGCAGGAAAAAAAAUAGUUAUAGAAGCAGCGGUAGGGUAGUGAUCAGGUGGUUGUUGGACACUUGGACUGGAUUAAAACGAUCGCGUUUCAACCGCCGAGAGCCCGAGAGUACUGAAAGCUACCGCUGUCCGCUGGGAUUCCCAAGCAGGAAGGGCGCUCCGUCGGGAUCCCUAUAAAAGGACCGAGAGGUGGCCGGGCUUAGUGCUAUAGAGCUGAGCCACAGGCCACGGACACCCAAGGAAGGAGGAGAGAGGAACCUGCCUUUCAGAUAAGAUGGCGUUGCUCCUUCGGCUUCUUGCCCUCUCGCUGCUCCUCGCUGUGGCCACUCCAAUCAGGGAUGUCACCGAUGCUUGCUCGUCUCAAGUAAAGGGUACUGCUCCUGGCCUUAAACUCGUUAUAUACCUUUGCUGAUUAUUUCAUAUUUUUUGCUUGACAUCAGUCAGCUAUGGUUUCUGCGUGUAACUGAUCGAUCGAUCGGGCUUAUAACGAUAGCAUCUAGCAGUAACUGAGCUUUCCAAGGAAAAUUACCAGCGCCCCCGAAUAGCAGAUUCAUAAUCUCUACGUAGAACCUGAAACUAUGAUGGCAGAAAAUCGUAGCUCGAGCUCAGUUUUUCGUGUGCAAGCAAAACAUUUUUUUUUAAUUUCAAGCAGGGGAGGUUGAACCUGUUGCCUUGUCCACGACAGGCAGAAAGUGAGUAAUAACUGAAUGAAAGGUGACAUACAGCUAGGGUGGGAGCCGAAGGACACUCGCGGUGUAGAUCGAAUCUUUCCAGAACUCGCAGGGGAAAAAAAAAAUACCAUCGGCAACAGGAUAAAAGCAUGUUAGGUACACCGUACACGUAUAUAUACGAUCCGUAGAUCGAUUAUGAAUGAAUACUUUCACGGUUCCAUCGCCACCAGCACGAAAAAAGCGUCCAGCUAGGUGCGUGUAUUUUCCCUUUUCUGACGGCCAAUUGGUGCUCUCAGCCUUUGUGCCCGCUGCUGAUAGCCUGGCUGGUGUGAGUCACAGACCAUAGGAAUAUAGGAUCUCUUCUUUGACUCAAAACAGUGGAGGAGACGACACGCCGUACGUCCGACUUUGGUACCAUUCCUAGGCUAAUCAACCGGUUUGUUUGCGUCUGCCGACAUGCAUAGAAGUUCUCUGGCAACUGGCCAUUUCAACUUGCACUGAAAUGAUGAAAUCUAGACCUGAAUUCAGACGAGACAACAUGAAGGCUAUCUAGACUUCGAUUCAGUAUCGCCUCCCCCAGUGGAAUUGAUGGCAAUUCAUUCAGUGCCAUACUGCCAUAGCUCGUAUGAUGUCUGCACUCGAUCCACGGCACUGCAGAGUUCAGGUUCAGAUGAAGCGUGUCCUCCAUCUUCCCCCGUGAAACCAAUCAAACCGUUCUCCCACCGCCAACCACCAUAGCUAUCACGUCCGCAAAGCGAAGGAUGGCCGCGGAAAUGGGCAGCCGAGCCAGCCAACGCGCUCCGCGCCAGAGAUGCCGCCGGACAGGCAUGGUUUUCAAUGCCGAUCGCGAUGAAGAUGCCGUCCUCCUUUCCUCUCCACGACCCCGUGCCUGCGUGUACCCACACGGCAUCACGGCUGCCAGAAAUGUGCUGUGCUCGUAGUAGCCGUCCCUGGGGUUGCAGUGGCCCUGCUUCCUUUCGAAAAUACUCCUGCAAGUGAUCGAGAAUAGCCGCUAAAAUGGGUCCUCCAAUGGUCUAGCGUGACGGUGCAGCACACAGUCUUCGUCCUUCUUUUUGGGAAAAUAUCUUUCUGGUGGUGUUUUCUGUUUUUUUUUACAAAAAAAUUUAUGAGGUGUGCAAUAUGAUUGGAUGGUUUGUACUUGGGCGCAAAAGUCACAUAAAGCGUUUCCAAACGGAUGGUCCAUUGUGAUGACAAGCCGACAACCACUCCAAUUAUCCUGGUGUUGGCAAUUUAGUAUAACAUUUUUUCCUUUUUCUUUGCGGGAUUGUUUUAAAUUUCUUUAUCUGUUAGGAUCUCAUUAAUAUCUUGCUAACUACCAACUAAACCCAUUCGCUUCGGAUUUUUUUUCUCGUGUUGCAUUUUCGGUAGUGCUGAUUUCACGGGGUGUUUGGUUCCACGAACUAAUUUCACGGGUGUUUGGUUCCACGGACUAAUGUUUAGUCCCUGUCACAUCAAAUGUAUAGAUACUAAUUAGGAGUAUUAAACAUAGACUAAUUACAAAACCAAUUGCACAGAUUGAGGCUAAUUCGAGAUGACGAAUCUAUUAAGCCUAAUUAAUUCAUGAUUAGCACAUAUUUACUGUAGUAUCACAUUGUCAAAUCAUGGAGUAACUAGGCUUAAUAGAUUUGUCUCGCGAAUUAGCCUUCAUAUGUGCAAUUGGUUUUAUAAUUAGCUCAUAUUUAAUCCUCCUAAUUAGUAUCUAAAUAUUUGAUGUGACAGGGACUAAACUUUAGUCCGUGGAACCAAACACCCCCUCAAACGAGGUGAAAAUUUAAUCUUCAGUUACCAAAGAGUACCAACAACUUGACUGUUCUAGUAGGUGGCUAGAGCUAAUAUGUGUUCUACGAAUCGAGCAUGUGCUCAAGCUUAACACGUGAUUGCUCAAUUUGUCCCCAAGCUACUGUUUCUACAUGUACAUAUGAACAUGUGAAAAAAAAUUAGAUCAAUAGGAACUAGGCGAUUUUUCAUUAAGAAGAAGAGAUUCGAACUUGGAUGGUUAGGAUGUACGACCACACCUCCACUUAACCAGUUAAGAUAGACUCACUUUGUACAUGUACAUGUGAAAAUAUAUUAGGACACAUUUAAUGUCUUGUUACUCAUGAAACAUAUGGAUCGUACUGUUAAAUCCAUGUCAAUAAUCCACCUGUUCGGCUGGACUUAUAAACCGGCUGAAAAGUUGAAACGGCUGAUUUGUUGUGAGAGAAAAAUAUUGUUCGGUGGUUGAUAAGCUGAAGCGAACAGAGCGAAUAGCUUCUCUGCCAACCACCUCUAAGGCUCUAACACGUCUUGGGUGGAAUUUAAUACGAUUACAACCAUUUGAUGUGUACAUGGUGCACAUACCCCGUAUAUGGCUGAAUCACGUCAUGUGAUUGCCGCUCGCGAAGCCGUCCCAACCUGUAAAAUAAAAAGUAUUCUUGCAAGCUUUUGUUUGAUCAUGUGAUCCAGAACUCUUGGGAAUAAUUUAAGUUAGCACUGGUGACUGCUGCGCAUCAGUGCAUGUUCCAAGACAGUCUAAAACAUAUAGUCCAAGUUCACACUUCACAGUAACACACGAAUACAAGCCUUUAUUAGAAAAACAAUAAAUAAAAAUAGCAUGGAAAUGUGUACACAUAUCGAUUUUUUUAUAUAUGUUGGCCACGUUGCUACGUUUGGUAAGACGUCAAUACGUUAUGCAUCACUAUCUAAUCAUGGCACCACUAAAAAACUGGUGCGGUAGGCUUAGUGCGUGCAGUGCGUACGUGUUCGGGUGUCGUGCCCGCGAUCAUGCUGCCUUUCUUUUCUAGGCGUGACAUGCAGCAGGAACGUAAAAAACGUUACAACUUUUGUAACGGUGGCAGUAAUUAACUUGGCACGGACGGAGGUAAAAAAAAAAGUUAAUUUGUUGCUGAUGAACUGCACAGAUUUCCCGCACCUCAACAGCUCCGGGAUCCACCUGACGCUGCACCACCCGCGGAGCCCCUGCUCGCCGGCGCCGCUCCCCGCCGACCUCCCCUUCUCCGCGGUGCUCACCCACGACGACGCGCGCAUCGCCUCCCUCGCCGCGCGCCUCGCCAAGACGCCGUCCUCGCGGCCCACCGCGCUCGACGAGUCGUCGUCUCCCGACGAGUCCCUCGCGUCCGUGCCGCUGGGCCCGGGCACCUCGGUGGGCGUGGGCAACUACGUCACCCGCAUGGGCCUCGGCACGCCGGCCAAGUCCUACGUCAUGGUCGUGGACACGGGGUCCUCCCUCACCUGGCUCCAGUGCUCCCCCUGCGUGGUGUCGUGCCACCGCCAGUCGGGCCCCGUGUUCAACCCCAAGGCGUCCAGCUCCUACGCCUCCGUCUCCUGCUCCGAGCCCCAGUGCAGCGACCUCACCUCCGCCACGCUCAACCCCGCCGCCUGCUCCACCUCCAACGUCUGCGUCUACCAGGCCAGCUACGGGGACAGCUCCUUCUCCAUGGGGUACCUGAGCAAGGACACCGUGUCGCUGGGCUCCAGCAGCAUGCCCAACUUCUACUAUGGGUGCGGGCAGGACAACGAGGGGCUCUUCGGCCGCUCGGCGGGGCUCAUCGGCCUGGCGCGCAACAAGCUGUCGCUGCUGUACCAGCUCGCACCCACCCUGGGCUACUCCUUCUCCUACUGCCUGCCGACGUCGUCGUCGUCGUCCGGGUACCUGUCCAUCGGCUCCUACAACCCGGGGCAGUACUCGUACACGCCCAUGGCGUCGAACUCGCUGGACGACUCGCUCUACUUCAUCAAGCUGACGGGGAUCACCGUCGCGGGGAAGCCGCUCUCCGUGUCGUCGUCGGCCUACUCCAGCCUGCCGACCAUCAUCGACUCCGGCACGGUGAUCACGCGCCUGCCCACGGGGGUGUACUCGGCGCUCAGCAAGGCCGUGGCGGCGGCCAUGAAGGGGACCCCCCGCGCGUCGGCCUUCUCCAUCCUCGACACGUGCUUCCAGGGCCAGGCGUCGCGGCUGCGCGCGCCGGCGGUCAGCAUGGCCUUCGCCGGCGGCGCGGCCCUGAAGCUGGCGGCGCCGAACCUGCUCGUGGACGUGGACAGCGCCACGACGUGCCUGGCGUUCGCGCCCGCACGGAGCGCCGCCAUCAUCGGGAACACGCAGCAGCAGACCUUCAGCGUCGUCUAUGACGUCAAGAGCAAAAGGAUCGGGUUCGCCGCCGGCGGCUGCAGCUGAGAAGGAAGCUACGCACACGGACGGGCUCGCACUGGUAACUAAAUUAAUUAAAUGAGCAGCGCAUCUACCGCUUGCUUUCGUCUGAACUCAUCAUUUCGACCACGCAAGCUCAGCUCCUUACAGUGCAUGCAUGUGGUGUGGAUAAAAUACACGCAUGAGAAAGGUGAGGUACAGGAAAGCUGAUUAAAGGAAGUACGCGUUGCUCAAGCACCUAGCUUGGUGUACAUUACAUGUUUAUUAAUUACCUCUUCGUUACAUAAAAGAAACGCAUAAAACAGUAUUACAGGAGCACUAGGAUAUUUAUGAUGUUGUUCAGGCCAGGUAUGUGAGAAGUGAAAAGCACAAUAGCCAACAGAUAGCAUGUAGCAUGUGAUUCUUUGGCAAAAAAAAAAAACCUUUGUGUAGGUAAAUUAAAGGACUAUGUAUAUUUCUGAUUUCCUUCUUACAACUUCCAAGGAUCAUUCCUCCCUUGUACACAGUGGGAGUAUAUUGUAACCGGGAGGUAUAUGAUAUGUAUGCUGUAUGCAUUUUACUUAUGUGAUAUAUUGACAAAAUGAAAAAUAUCUUGUUCCUGACUUUAUUGCCUUGGAAGAAUUAUCAUUAUCAUUGUUAAAUUUGCCCUGCACCUUUUUUUUUUGCACCAUGUAUGAUCGGCCAUGGGCCGGCCGAACAAGUGGUUAGCAAAAGAUGUACGGAUUACAGUAGUACAACCAGUAGGAGAAUAAAGAGAGAAGCUUUAGUUGUUCGAAUGUUUGUGUCUCCAAUAAUUGGAGCACAGAAAAUUAAAAGCGAGGCCGGGUAGGCUUUCGCUAGUGCUUUUCCGUUAUGAGCCGGAAAGAUACCGAACGUGACAUUCUUUUACGUCGAAGCAUGUUCAUCUCGGUUGCCUUUUGAGAUUCCAGGGAGGACGACAGACUCGCGCAUCCGCGACACACUUCAGGAACCUUUUGCAAGCCAGACUACCUCGCGCCACCGCCAUGGCCACUGCCCACUGACGAAGUGACGAUGAUGGCCAUUUCCUUCGGACAUCUCAAAAGAUAUUUUUUGUUGCAAGUGCACCGAUCUGAGUGCUGCACAGUUGCGCACUCUUUCUUGCUCACCGUAUUCCUGUUGCACUUGCAUUGGGGUGGUCCAUCUGAAGGGACCUGUUAGGCUACGGUAGGUACGUGGGGAUAGACCGACAGACGCUUAUCGUUGUGCGCAUUGAGAGUUUGAGACGUUUCCGUAGAGCGCUAGCUCUAAUAGACUGUUUCUCCGACGUGGACUGGUGAACUACGAGAAGCCCGGCCGGGCUGGCCUCAAUACUCAAGUGGCAGACGACGCCUCUCUUAACUAACCGUGCCAAUGGUGGCUGAUGAGCCGUCUACGUACUCGGCUAUUUAGCUUGUACACUAGCACUCUGUGGUUUAGCACCCCGCAUCUGGGCGGUGCCGCUGCUGGUGGUGGGCGCGGUACGUGGCCCCAUUCGGAACGCGACGGGCAUGCUUACCCCCACUUCUCGCCGGCGCAGGCACAGCAACGCCUGUGCUAGCGGCCGGGGGGAGGCGAUGGCCUGUGCGGAUGUGACGCGGCAGGCAGGGAGGUGCGCGCCCGCGGCAUGCCGAGCGGCGUCGAGCUCGCCAUGGGAUUCGUUCGCGACGGGCCGCAGCGCGGACUCAUCAUGAGUUCAUGGUAUUUCUGGGGGGAGUGGGGGGUGACGGAUGAUGCGCUAGCUGCGCGCGGUCUCGUCGACGCACAAGUUCUUUCGGUACUCCGUCGGCGUCCGCUGGUUGGUCCAGCGCAAACGCCCGCGCACGACACGGCGGGUCAGUUUCUCCCGCCAUGCCCGCCGGGCCCCACCGCAGGACCCCCCCGGGCCCGGGGGCGAUCUGCGUAGCUGUGCCGAAAGGAGUCGCAUUGAAGGCCGUCCACUCCACCCAGGUGUGCUAACCUGCAAGAGGCGGCCGGGGACCCGGAGUUGAUCGAUCGACAUCGACCUCCUGCUGCUUCUUCACGCGGUGCCGGGGGAGGCCCGUUCGCCGGAUUUUGUCGCGGGGCGCGGCUCCGUCAGGGUGGACCUGCCUCGCAGGUUGGGACCGUCGGAUUCGUUCGUCCCGGACCCGGAGCUGGCUACGGCCUGGGUACGGCGGUACGGGGGGCGCUUAUCAAUAUCCUGGUGUACGAUUGCCGGUUUUGGUAUCAGAGGACGAGCGGAGCGGAGGCGCCAGCCAUGACUGUCGGUGUCGGUACGUCAUCGACGGAAUGACGGCGUUUUCAGCUGUGCGCACUGUGAACGUUCUUCUAUACUGUGCGUAUCGUUCGGCCGGCGAGAAAAACGGCGGGUACUGUGCACACAGCUGUAAGUGCAGCGUACGUUACGCCAUGUCGGCGAACAAACUUGCGCGGACCAACUGGAUGUCGGUCGGUCGGUGCGGACGGACGCGUUGUCAGACAGGCCUGUUGGUGUUCGUUUCCAGGGCCGAAGUCGCGCGGCCUGUUGUUGGUCUGGGGCUCGGGGCCUUGUCAAAAAAGACAGGCCUGUUGGUGCUCUUGGGCUCCGAGAGAACCGGCGUUGGCUUUCUCUGAUCAGGCCCAUAGCCCCAUACGGUCCAUUUUCAGCAGUUGCGUGUGUUUCCCGCGUAGCUCCAUUCUGCUGCUUUCUGUUUGCAUCAAACAUGAGGCAGUCACUACUGGAUGAAGCUAUAUUACUAUUUCUUUCGUGUUUUGCACCUGCCUUUUCCUAAGCCCUUGUUUAGUUCACCUCCAACUUCCAACUUUGACACUAUGCAAAAAGAAGAUUCCCCAUCACAUCAAACUUGCGUUACAUGCAUGGAGUACUAAAUGUAGACGAAAUUAAAAACUAAUUGCACAGUUUUGUUGUACUUUGUGAGACGAAUCUUUUGAGCCUAAUUAGUCAAUGUUUGGACAAUGAUUCACAAAUACAAACGAAAUGCUACAGUGUGCUACAGUGCUGUAACAGUAAUUUGGCACCUCCAAACUUUGGCAACUAAACAAGGCUAAGUUAGGUUGCAGUACUCAACACAAACUGCCCUUCCAGCUGUAAGCAACCGACGUGCUAGCUUAAUCAGUGGUGGAGCCAGCCAUGAUUCCUAGGGAAGCUCUUCUUCUUCCUCCCUCUUCCUCCAUCUUCUUCCUCCUCCUUUAUCCUAAAAAAUGGAGGGGGGACUCAAGGGGGAGCUCCAUUGUUUUUGGGCAUCAAUCUUUCUCCCUAAAAGGGACUGCUAAAGUAGAAACUAGAGCAAACUUAGUGCACAAGGUUGACCUAUAACUAGAAUUCUAAAAAAAGCUUGACUUCAACCGUCACGUUUGGGCACAUCCCCAACCUGUUUUAUUUGGACCUCUCCACCUUUCAAAAAACAGGUCAAGUACGUCGCCUCGAAGAUAAUUGCGUACGAUCGAAAGAUAACUGCAUCACAGUCCAUUGUCGCGAGUCCCAACAAAUCCUCCUCGCGAAAGUAACGCACUGGAAUGAGAAAAAAUGGGAUCUGAUUCGGAAUACUAGAUAGCAAGCACCAUACUUGCACAAGGACAAUGACUCGAUCGGCAUUGACAGCGUUUAGUAAGCAGAAGCUGAUCCAUGUCUAUCACCAUUUAUACAAUAAUCAUUUUCUAAACCAUCCAAAGAACGCACAAAUCUCUCCAUAACUGAACACUAAUGGAACUAGAAUGAUGUAUUGUAAGCCUAGUAGUAAGCAUAGAACGGCCUCAAUGCUCAAGACGAAGAAUUCGUCACCUACUUGUCCAGCUCCAGCCAGCAUCGAUCGCAGAAAUUUUUUCAGCAGGAAAGGGCAUCCUGCAGCGCUGCAGGCCCCUGCCACCUAUUCUGAAGUCCGAAGAAACUUCACCCUCCUCGUGAGACGACGGCACAGCUGGGAAACGCCCCGGGACGACGGGCGGCGCAGGCGCUCCUUAUUAUCUGACGAAGACGACGACGACACAUCUGUCGACGACGCCGACGCCGACGCGUGCUCCCGGGUCUUGGCCCUCGCGAUCUCCUCGUACACGAGCCUCUUCUUCUUGUAGAGGUACGCGGCCUCCCGGUUGAUGGCGACGCCGUCCAUGACAGGCUCGUGCAGAAGCGAGACCACGACGAGCAGGACCUUGUCCACCGACCACGCGGGCGUCCACCAGUUCUUGUCGGUCAGGAAGUCCAGGCACACCAGCCCAGUCCUCGGAUCCACGUUGGGGUGGUAAACCUGUGUAUAAUCGCAGGUUCAGAGCAGCAGGACAUGAGAACGCAGGCGUCAACACAAAACCGAAAAGGAUUCGGCAAUCAUCAGAGAGAUCAAUCAAGCUGCAGCAGGGAGCAGGAGGAGACGAGACGAUCAUGGGCAUCGCGCGUACGAACCUUUGUGGCGAAGAACACCUUGGGAGCCUUGAAGGGGUAGUCGCGCGGGAACUCGAGGCGGACGGCGAACACCCCGCCGUCGUAGGGGCUUCCCUCGGGGCCGACGACGACGACCUGCCAACGGAGGCGGUCCGUCGCGUCGGCGCCGGGGAGGCACCACUCCGGCGGGUCCGCCCAGAGCCCUUCGAGCUCCCUCUCGAGCCGCGUCUCCCAGCGACGGGACUUGUCUGCAGGCCGCGCGCCUCCCGUGGUCGUCGUUCGCCGGAGAGCGCCGCCGCCGGGAGCCAUGAUGGCCGGCUGGCCUUUGCCUUAACUAGCUGCAGGGCUGGCGAGUGGCGAGUCAACGACCAGAAGCCUAGAGAUGGUUCCGGUGAAAGGAGGCCAUGCCCAUAUAUAGAGGGAGGAAUGGAGCGAGAUGGCUUUUUACACGCUACGCUGGCCGUGGUUGUGAGUUGUGGCCUUGUGGGCUUCUAGCUAGGUAGCACUGCGUACGUGGUGACACGCCGUGAUCCCGUGAUUGGCCGAGGAGACUCAUCCGAUCCAUCUAUUGAUCGCAGAUCCAUCCGAGUAGUUGCAUGAGGUUUUUCUAGUAAUAUAGAUUUUGCUAUGCAUCUAGACAUAAUCCUAUAUGUAGAUGCAAAGCAAAAUUUAUGUAUAUAAUAAAGUCAAAACAAACUACAUUUUGGAACGGAGGGAGUACCAUUUACUAUAUGCAAUACCCAAAUACACCACUAUACCACUAUAUGUUAGAACUCAUGGAAUAGGCAUGGGUACUGCAUAAAGAAAUGUACCACAUGUAUUCGAAGCACCAGAUCGAACAAUAUUUUUUUAAUCAAAGGGAUACAUUGAUCUGAGAGAAUAUGCAAUUCUAAGAAUACUCUCAUGAUCAAGAUGGCGGUGACAGAAUAUAUAUAAAACAUACUCCCUCUGUCCCAAAUUAUAGGUCAUUUUGACUUUUCUAGAUGCAUAAUUUUAUCUAUGCACCUAGAUAUAUAUUUGUCUACAUACAUAUAAAAUACUAUGAAUCUAGAAAAGUCAAAAUGACCUAUAAUUUGAAACGAAGGGAGUAUUAGCUAAAGCUACUAUUGUUGCAAGAACAAGUACGGCCAUAUUUCGUUUGAUAGCUUUUCGAUCAUAAUUCAUAUAUUUAUAUUAUAUUAGGGACGUCAAAGCACAACGUAUAAUCAUAAAUCAAGGGUAGAAUUUACGCAUGAAGAAUUGCAUCCAACUAGGUUAGAUAAACUAAGUAAUCAUGGACAGCACGGUGGGCAUACAAACUCAAACAGAACAAUAAUUCCAACUCGGUAAUAAACAAUCACAAAAAUAUCCCAUGUCAACUGAAGAGUUUGCGCAGUGCCAAGUGUCAAAUAACCGUAACAACUAAAUUUCUAAGAAGGAGCUCAAUUUAGUAUGCCGUGGACCAGUAGUAACACUAAAACCUCACAUCAUUCUAGAAAUAGGUUUCGUCUAAAACUAGAAUAUAAGGAAUUGGCCUUGUAUAACUGACCACUAACUACGUACGUACAUAAGUAAAAGGUAACCACUAGUACUUGCAAAUAUAAACCUGGAAAAGCCAUCGUUACAAGUCUCAACAUCCAAAUAUGACAGGAUAACGUGAUGACUGAACACUAUCAUGAAAGCAAUUAUUCAUGCCAAUCUGAUGAAUCUACAACUGAACACUAUCACCAAGGCUCCUCGAAGCAUCAAGAGCUAAUACGAGACAUAAUUAUGAAGCAACAAGUAGAUGGAUUUGAAGCACCGAAAUAAACUUUAAAUCAAAUUAAAGGGGUAUAUUCGAUCUGAGAGCAAUGCAAAUGCAAUCCUAGAAAUACUCUCACUGAUCAAGAUGGAGGUGACAUAAUUUAAAACCUGAAGAUUAGCUAAAGCUACGAUUGUUGCAGAACAAGUACACGAGUAAUUUCGAUCACAUAGUUGGAUGAUAAGAGUAAGAAAAAUGAGGAAUUUACAAAUGAAGAAUUGCAUCUAAUUAAUAAGCCAGAUGAAGUAAGCAUGGACAGCAUGAUAUCAUAAACAUUCAUGAACAAAACAAAAUUCUAACCUGAUAAACAAUUGCAAAAAUAUCCCGUCUCAACUGAAGAAUUUAUGCCGUGUCAAGAGUCAAAUAACUUUAUUAACAACAAAAAGGGAGCUCAAUUUAGUAGGCAGUAGACCAGAAGUAACAGUAACACUAAAACCUCACAUCAUUCUCUCGAAAUAGAUUUCGUGUCUAGUAGAAUGUUAGGAAUCGGCUGGCCUUGUAUAACUGACCACUACAUACACUAACCCAAACCUGGAAAAGGCCAUCAUCACAAGUCUCAACAUCCAAAUAUGACAAGAUAAUACCAAUCAUGACAACAUCUCAUGAUGGUGCCAUACCAAUCAGAAGUAAACGCACACCAGCUUGAAUCUGCAACUGAACGAGACACAAUUAUGAAGUAGCCAUCGUCUCCUUCUCAACUUCAAUUGCGUACGCUAUAGACCAUCAAGCUACCUUAGACAGAAAUGAUCCCUCUUUUGCUACUCUCCUACACGGCCUUGACGGUAGAUGGCGACGCGACGGGCCGGCGUCCCUGAAGAAACGCCACCGUCCUCCUCCACAGGAGGCUCACUCCCUUCUCACGUGGCGACGCGACCUUGCGGCGGCGCGCCUCCGCCGACGCAGCAGCGGCGGCGGCGCGGAGCCUGUCCGCCUCCCGGCGCCUCUCUUUCUUCUCCAGCUCCGCGUUGUGAGCGGCGAUGGCGUCGCAGUAGUCCUCCCAGUUCUCGUCCCCCUUCUCCUCCAAGUAGUAGGAGGCGACCGGCGUGGAGGCGUACCUCCGGGUCCACGCCCUGGCCUUCCUCUCGUACAGCUUGAUGUCGCUCUUGUAAAAGGCGCGCGAUGUGGCCGUUGAUCGGGUGGUCGAGCAUGGGGUCGUGGAGAACGGAGACGAUGGAGAGGAGGAGCUUCUCGAUCGUCAGGGCCGGGCUCCAUUUCUCCCGGAAGAUGUCAAGGACCAUCUGCCCCUCCGAGUUUAUAUUUGGGUGGAACACCAGCGCGUGGAUAUGGCGCAGUUCAUCAUCGAUGCAUCUCGAUUGAAAUUUAAGGAAGCGGGGUAAAAUGGAGGGAAAUUUGUUAAGUUGGGGUCGAUUGAAAUGAACAUGAGAAUGCUGGAUUCGUGCAAGAAAUCGCGGAUCGAGCGGACAGUGGUUAGAAGUUAGAACUCAUACCUUCGUCUUGAAGGCUAUAUUCGGGGGCUCUAUGGGAUGAUCGGCGGUGAACCGGAUGUCGAUGGGGAACGUCCCGCCGGCGUACGGGGUGCCGUCGGGGCCGUCGAUGAUCACCUCCCAGUGGAGAGGUCCGUCACCGGCGACGGGCCAGGACGGCAGAACGCCGGCGGGUCGACCCACAGCCGGUACAGCUCCUCCGGAUCCGCCGCGUGCAGGACGGCUCCGCCUUGGUCGGGGACGACGGUGAGGCGCCCAUCCGAGCCCCGCCUGCACGCAGCUGUGCUCUGAAGUCUGAACCCUUGUGCGCUCUGCUCAGGUGGAAAGGCUGCGCGGUAUAAAUAACUGCUAGUGCUCGAGGGAUCGGGUGGCGAAGGAGAUGGACGACAGCGUCCCCGUGGAGGCCGCCGUGGCUGACAUGUGGGUCACCGACUCACCGUCUUGGCUACUGACUAGGAGCGUUGUAGUUUCGUUCAAUUCAGAGUUCAGAGCUUGUGGCCUUGUGGGCUUUCGGGCCGAGCAUCGAGCAAUGGACCUGGUGUGACGUGGAAAGGCAUCUGCCAUUUGUUAUUUCCCGCUGAAUGUUUGGGCUGCCAUCGCUGAAUUCUUCUCGUGCUAGUAUUAUUAGAGCAUCUCCAAGAAUACCCAAAAUUCACUCCAAAAAUUUGUUUUGGAAACAAACUCAAGAAUACGGGAACAAACUCAAGAAUACCUGCUCCAACAGUGGUCCAAUCCGUUGCCCAAUAUUCCCGCGCGCACAAUUCAGACGGAAAUCCGAGCCAUUUUUGCGCCCGUCGCUCACACUUCCAAUCGCCGAAGAUUGAGCCGAGCCCGCCGAUUUUUCUUCCUCCCGCGCGGUUUCUUCUCCUUCGCGCCAUUUUACCUCUUCCCCAUCCAUACGGCGCCAAGCCCUCCAGGCCUCCACAGGCGACGCUGGCACAGUGGUGCGUUGACCACCGCGGCUUGUAGGUGUGGAAAAGGGGCAGCUUGAAUAGUACCGCUGCUGGCUGCCUAUUUUGCUCGAGCGGAGAGAGGAGGGAUGAGAGAGGUGGCGCAUGGUGCUCGGAUGUGGCGCAUGGAGAGCAUGGAUGUGGAGCUCGGAUUGGAAAGAGGGAGGAUUGGAGGAUAGCUGCUAGCUGCCAAUUGGGUGCUUCGGUUGAUAGAGAAGGGACAAGGGAGUAGUGUUGGCCGGCUGGGAGGAGAGGAAGAUCAAGCUAUUGCCGAUUUGCUUCGUUGAGAAGAAAGGAGAGGAUGGAGUCAUGGAGAAGAGCGGCGGCAUUGGAGGGGUGAGAGGUGAGGAUAAUUUGGGAAUUAUAUCGUGGCUGCUUAGGGUUAAUGGUUAAUUCAUCCGGUAUUCUUUGCUCGUGCCAUUUUUUAAUGGAGGCUAAGGCGUUGAUCAACGAUAAGCAUUGAGCAAUUAAAUUAUUUUAUUAGAACUAAUUUUGGGAACUGUUGGAGCAGGAAUCUUUUUUCCUCCCAAUAUUUUUUGGCAGGGUCCCAAAACAAGUUUUUAUAGCAUUUGCAGUAAAUGGAUACUCUCUCCAUUCGCAAGUGACGUUUAUUUGGACAUCGACACAAAGCUCCAAAAUGUUAACAGCAAAAUACACUGGGAUUCUCAGAUGGAGGAUCUACUAACCUAGAUGAAAGUCCUGGAAAUGUUAAAGAACCCCCAAUGCAUAUUGUACUCAAUUCUUGUAAAACAAUAGUAAAAACACUUUUAUGAAAGAGUAAAAUACACCAUCAUCCGUAAACUUAUUCAAAGCUGUCGCUUAGGUUCAUGAACUAUUAAUUUAUCGAUCUAGGUUUCUAAACUUGCCAAGUGCUUCACUCAAGGUCCAAACAUCUCUAAUUAGCGUUGACCAGACUACUUGGCUCUUGGCAUCGACGUGACAUACAUUUCACCUCAAAAUUCCGACAUAUCAGUGACAACAUCAUCUUUCUUGGCAUUCUCUCUCAGAUGACCAUGGUAGCAGGCCACACGAGCAAGUAUAUGUUGAGUUGUUGACUAGUGAUAUGUGGUCAUCAAGCGUCACAAUCAAUAAUAAAGGGGAGGGGCGGCGUGCAUGCAAACUUUGCACGGACCUUUAUGACACUCUUGAGCAAGUGUGAUAACCACUCGAUGCACUUCAAUCUUUAUAAAACUACAUGCUACCUCCGUAUCAAAAUAUUUAUUGCUGUUGACUUCUAAUCAUGACGUUUGACCAUUCUUAUUUAAAAAAUUAUGCAAGUAUCAUUUGUAACUUACUUUACCAUCAAAGGUAUUUGAAGCGUGACUUAUCUUUUUUAUAUUUGCAACAAAUUUUUGAAUAAAACAAACAGUCAAAUGUUAUAAGAAAAAGUCAACGGCGACAAAGAUUUCAAUACAGAGUGAGUAAAUUUCAAGACAAGUGUGACGGUAUCAUUUACAAAUAUCCAAGCUUCACAAAUUUAAAAAAAAAUGCAAAGUUUGUACUAUUGUCUUAAGACAAACAUGGCUGAAGGGAGUAUGCAUUAGCAUGUUUUAUUCUGAUAUGGUCAGGACUAAAUUUAGACAAUCAUUUUCUCAUGCAAUAUAAUAGUUACAUUACCAAUAAAGCGUAUGAUCUCCUUGACAUAUAUACAAAUCCACUUUUACAUCUUCUACUACACACUAAUAAACAUAUAAAGUUUGUUUCACUCCUAAAAACAAGCGCACCCAGUAUAGUUGGACAAAGGGAGCAUGGUAGACGGCGGCGGUCGCCGCCAGGAUGAGCAGGGUCCGCGGCGAACGACGGGGGCGGCUAGUGUGGGCGAACGACGGCGGGAGCCAAGGCUGGGCGCGGGCAGCCAAUGGUCGCAGGCCGGUGGGCAGAAGGCCUUGGUAAUCAUAGUUCAUACCGUGACAUAUUUUUUUCUUAUUUCUUUAAUCAGAAAAUGUGGGCCACGAGAGCAUUGGAGAAAAGAGAUUAGCCUAACAUGUGGGACCCACACGUCAUGUUCAUCUCAUUGUCCAGUCACCCCGCCACGCAUGCAGUUUAACCCAUGUCAUGGAGAUUUGGACAUCCGGUGAACCAAUUAGCAAGUAUAGGGAUUUCAAUGUGCAUUCUAGGAGUUUGGGGACCUGGAUAAUCAGGUGAACCAAUUACCAAGUAUAGGAAUUUCAAUGUGCAUUAGUUUGGGGACCUGUAUAAUACUAGCACCGCUGGUACAUUUUACUCGUGACAACAUCAUCUUCUUAGCAUUCUCUCUCGAAUGACGAUAGUACCACACGAGCAAGUAUAAUAAUAGGGUGGGGGGGGGGGGGGUUGACGUGCAUGCAAACUGUGCACGGACCUUUAUACCUUUAUGACGUUGAGCAAGUUUGUCAACCAAUCGAUAUAUUUCACUCUCAUUAUAAAACUACAUGCAUUUGAAGACAAGUGCACCGGUAUCAUUUACAAAUAUCCAAGUAAAAAAUGGAAAGUUUGUAAUUAUUGUCUAAGACAAACUCAACAUCAUAUAUGGCUAAGGAGUAUAUAUUAGUGUGUUUUAUUUUGACAUGGUCAGGACUAAAUUUAGACAAUCAUUUUCUCAUGCAAUAUAAUAGUUACAAUACCAAUGUGAGAUGUCCUUGAAAUAUAUACAAAUCCACUUUUAUGCACGUUAAUAAACAUAUAAAUUGGUUUCUGUUCUAAAAACAAGCGCGUCCAGUAUAAUUGGACAAAGGGAGCAGCACGGUAGAAGAAAAGCGCCUCCUAGAGGUAGCAAACGGCAAGGCGAUGGACCAUCCCUGAAGAAACGCCACCACCCGUUUCCACGUCACACGGGGCAGCAACGCGAUCCUCCUUGCACGGGCAGGCCAAGACGACGCGGCGGCGCGGCGCUCCAACGCCUCUUCCUCCUCUUGGUGGCGCCGCCUCUCUUCCUCGUAGCGGCGCAGCCUCUCUUCCGCCUCGUCGGCAGCACGCUUGGUGGCGACGGCGUCGCAGUGGUCCAGCCACCGCUCGUCUAAUUCGUCGGUCGGGUAGUGGGAGACGAUCGGCGCCGAGUACUUCCAGGUCCACGCAAUGGCCAGCUGCUCGUACAGCUCGAUGUCUCUCUCGUACACGUCGUUGACCUCGUCGUUGGUCCGGUGGCCGUCGAGCAUGUGGUGGCAGAGCACGGAGACGAUGAAGAUGAGGGAUCCCGUGGAUGGUCGUUGCCGGGCUCCAGUCCUCGUAGUGCAAGAUGCCCAGCGUCAUCUCCCUAUCCGAGUUGAUGUUCGGGUGGUACACCUGCGGGUAGAAACAGAUGCAAUGGCACGGUAAGAGACCAUGGAAUUGAUUGCAAAGAAGCGAGAUAAAGACGAUGAACUAAUCCAUAUAAAAUUGCUGGAGUAAUUUUUUUUUGGAAACAAUUGCUGGAGUAAUUAAGUACCUUGGUUUUGAGGUGAUCUUUGGGGGACUCAGGGGAUAAAUGCUGAAGUCGAUGUCUACGGGGAACGUCCCUCCGAAGUAGGGGCUGCCGUCGGGGCCGUCGAUGACCACCUCCCAGUGGAGGAGGUCCGUCACCGGCGACGCGCCGGGCCGGCAGAACGCCGGCGGGUCGACCCAUAUCUUGCGGAGCUCGCUCCGGAUCCGUCGUAUGUCCGGCUCCAAGCCCAUCGUCCUUCCUCCCUCCCUCCCAGGUGUGCUCUGAUCUGAUCAGUCGCCGUGUCACGGGUGCUGCGCGCCUGCGCCUGUGGGGGAACCGGGGAAUCCCUGUUCGUUGAGGCGAAGUCUGCGUUGUUGAUUCAAACGUGCUAGUGCUGGAGAGAUCGCUGGAAUCCACGGCGUCCAACCCUCGAGAUCAAUAUAUAGGGCCUAUUUGGGAAGGUGGUGUUAAAGUUUAACAANNNNNNNNNNNNNNNNNNNNNNNNNNNNNNNNNNNNNNNNNNNNNNNNNNNNNNNNNNNNNNNNNNNNNNNNNNNNNNNNNNNNNNNNNNNNNNNNNNNNCACAUUUGGUGGCAAAUGACCCAAGUGCCCCUCCUUUUCCCUCUUCCCUUGCCGGCGCACUGCCCCUCCCAGUGCUCCCUUUCCCCCGCUCGCCACCUCUCGCAGCUCCCAGUGCUUCCUCUUCUACAGUUCUACUUGCUUCUUCUUCUUCCAUCACAAUGCCAUCUCCCCGGCAAUUCUUGUAGCUGCUUCUACCCAUCUUGCUCGCCACUUGCUGCGUCGAUGGCGCCAACGGCCCCGACGCCCUCGCCACCGCCAGGAGGCAGCUCCACCAGGCCUUCUUCCCGCAUCAGCCCGCGCAGCCGGCCGCGCCGCCGCCCUUCUUCCCGACGCUCCCAGUGCCGCCCCCGCCGUGGUCUUCCUCGCCGCCGCCGGUGCUCUGCAAAAAUCGCCGCCCCACCACCCAUCCCUCGCUGGGCCUCCUGCUUCGGCCUCCUCGGGGGCGGCGGCGGCGGCGACCACCACCACCACCACCCCAAGAAGCCCAGCCCCUCCGCGGCCAAGCUCGCGCUCGCGUCCUUCCUUGGCCGAUCGAGGCCGGCGGCCUCGCCCGUGCCCGCGACAACCCGCCGUCCUUCAAGGCUGCCGUCGAGUCCAUGCCCGUCCCCGGAUCCGCCGCAGCAGCCUCCGGAUCCGCAGCCCGUCCCCGAGUCCCGCGCCUGUAAGCCUCGGUGGCGGCUCGGGCGGCCUCCGGUGCCGCCGCCGCUGCUGCCGCCACCCCGGCGCCGAGGACGACACGGGCGGUGCGGGUGUCGCUCGGGGCGAUUGCGGGCGUCGCCGUGGUGGCCCCCCGCGUGUGGAGGUCUGCGAGGGCGGCGGGUGGACGGCCUGCAGAGGGCGAUGGAGGCCUCGUUGGAGGCUGCGCCGUGGAUCUGCGAGCGGGGAUGGCCAACGGGUGGACGCGACGCGGGAGGGAGAAGAGGGGCAGCGGAGGAGAGAGCGGGGGCAACCAGGGAAUAAAGUGGGGAGGGGACCACUUUUAACACCUUUAGCAAGUUUUAACACCCCCUUGAGGUGUUAAGUUUUGGGGGUGUUAAACUUUAACACCUAAGUUUUAACACAGCUGUUUGGAUCUCAAAGUGUUAAAAAGUGUUAAAACUAGGAUGUUAAACUUUAACACCCUCAAUCCAAACAGGCCCAUAAGCGGUCUUCCGUGUCCGACUCCGACUUGUGGAGUCCCUCUUUCGCGAGACGACUUUGGAUACACGGAAAAAGGAACGUGGGGUAUGAUUCAGAGGUACGGAGUACGAUGUCGGAAACGAGCAAGCAACCAUUUGCCAGCAAUCACCGAACUUGCCCAAGGAAAAAUAACUCGGCACCGAUAAACUUUAGUAAUUAGAAGUUCGUUCCCACCAUUUUUUUUUCUCGAACUCGACACUGCGUAUCUUUGUAUUAGGCAGAAGAUUGUUUGAUUACACAGCACGCUCCGUGCGGUUUCUCAUGCGGAUUACUCUCUCCGUCCCAAAAUAAGUGUUGGUUUAGGAAAUUUUGGACACAUUAGUAGUUGUGAGAAGUGACCAUGCUGCCCCUAAUUACUCAUAUUAGUUAUGGUUGAAAGAUGUGCAUACGUUUUGGUUUUCUGAAUCCUGAAUAAAUGGAUGUGCAUUGUAACAAGAGAAAAAGCAUCAAUUAAUCAUUUUAUUGGCUCUAUGCACUUCUCAAUACAUGUUAUUUUUAUUGGUGUGAGUGUUGCUUUAAUUAGAUAAGUCUCACUAGGAGCUAAAUGAACACUCUUUGUGGGACAAAAUUUGAAGGUUAAACGAACACUU
rnacentral:lncRNA from 1 species